AUCAUCUUAUUCUCACACUAUCUGUCAAACCCACAUUAAUCAAUCUCAGCUCUGGUUCAGAUAAAAUCUCAUUGAUCAACACCAUCGUUACUCCCUCCUAUUAGUUGAUUUAUUUAUUGUUGAGCGCAUUGCACCCUUUGGGCACCACCAUGCAUAUCUUCGUCCUCAUCAUAUGCUUCCUGGGCCUGCUGCUGUUUCCGCCUCAUCUCCUCUUCAAAGUUCACAUCAUGUAAAGUGGUCUCUUCACAUUCAUCCAGCUCCAUGUCAGACAGCUGGACUGAAGUCCUUGAGGGAAGCACAGUCUCCAAGGCUUUGCACUGAUCUGGGGGCAGAGAGUCUGGGAAAUCAACAGAGAAAUGAAUGUACAAUUUCCCCCUCAUGAAUGGCCUUUGAUACAUUGGCAUUCCUUCAUCAUUAAUGGCCUUGAAUUGAUCUGUGUUGAAACAAAGACAAAAAACAUCAAUAGCACGCCAUUAAAAGAUAAGUUACAAGAGAAAGAUAUUAAUAUCGGAGACUACUACAAGCAAACUUGGGAAGAAAAUCCCAUGUUCAAUGAUCAGCAAACACUUCUGCAAGGGGAAACCUCUUAGUCAACCAGGGAGCCUCACUGAGAUCACAUGAGGACUUCUUUUUUCAAAAAAAAAAAAAGAUUACUUGGCACCUCAAUAAGUUCAAUCAUUGCAUGUUAUGGAGCACCAAAGACAAUUGUAGGAAAACAAAAAUUAUUUCUGAAUGAAAGACAUUGAAAAGUUCAUAAAAGCAUAUCCAAUGUACCUGGUUUCACUACUUCCCCAGGUUGGGAUUUUAUGAGGAGCUGCCUUCCAUCUAAAUGGGUCAAUAUAAACUGGAAGCCACAGAGUGCCUCUGUGAGAGAAAGUGUGUGCUCAACAACUAGGUCAUCUCCCUUUCGCUUGAACUUAGGGUGCUCCUUUUGCUGUAGGACAAAAACAAUGUCCCCAGUGAUAGUAUCAGGCUGCACAAAUAACAAGAUACAAAUGAGCACAAGUACAGAUAUUAACGAAACAUCAAAAUUCUAAGAACAUUAGGAGAAAAAAGGUUUAGCAAGUAUGCUCUGACUCACAGCUUCAUCAGCUUCUCCAGGAAAUGUAAUCUUCUGCCCAUUUUGCAUACCCUUCUCAACAAUAACUUCCAGCACUUUCUUCUCUUGAACAACCUUUUCACCCUUGCAUUGAGGGCAGCGGUCCUUGUCAUUAAUGGUCUCACCAGUACCCUUGCACUCAUUGCAGGGAUGCUGCAUUUGCUGGAUCAUAGAGGGUCCAAGAUGUCUUAUUGAAACCUUCAUUCCAGAACCUUGGCAACCAGAACAUUUCAUUGAUGCACCGGAUUUAGACCCUUUACUGCAAUUUUUCGCAAUAGGAAAAACCCCCAUGUUAGUAACAUAAAUAAACAAACUUAACCCACCAAAAUAUAAUUUUACAUAUUUUAAAAGACUAACCCUUUGCACUUCGAGCAGAUAACAUUGCGAGAAAGAGAGAGUUUUUUGGAGGUGCCAUUGUAGAGAUCUUCCAAAGAAACCUUGAGAGGAUGAAUCACAUCCUCACCCCUCCUCUGCCUUCGGCCUCUGCUGCUGCCGCCACCUGCACAAAAUAUUCAUCAAGUCAAGAGAAUUUGUCACGAUGCCAAAAAACCACAGGUAAUAUUCAUUCUGCAGUCCUCACCACCGAAUGGACUGCCACCAAAGAAAGAUUGGAAAAUAUCGAAUGGAUCAUGGCCGCCACCACCACCACCACCCAUUCCUUCCUUGAGGGCAUCCUCGCCAUACUGAUCAUAUAUCUCACGCUUUUCUGGAUCACUUAAAACCUCAUAAGCUUGUGCCAACUCUUUAAACUGAAUCACAAGCCAAAUAAAAGCAAAACUUCACCACAAGCAUAACCACAAUAGCAGUAAUAACAACAUAACCAAAAUCAACGAUUACAUACACAAGCAUUAGGGACCUGAAACUUCAACUAUGCAAUCAUUUAAAAGCAAUUGCAAUUCCUGAUCACAAUCAAAAUUAUGAUCCUUCUGACCGAUCAUCAACAAUAAGUACUCAGUUACCACUUACCAGCAAUCAAAGGCUCAACCUUUAUAAUUAAGUCACUUAAUAACUAAUAAAAGCAAAUCCAUAAAAGCAAGUGACUAUAAUUGCCAGUUCAUAAAACCAUAAUAACAACACACUAAACAACCAGAUCUGUUCCUAGACUAACAAAAUUGAUCCUCAAAACCCACAUAAAAUAAACUUAAACAACAAAUUCAAGACCGUUCACUAAGUCAAAGCCAUUAAAUACUAAAUCCCCCAAGCUGAUACGUAGACACAAAGAAAUACCAACAAAAUUAUAGAAAACAAGUAUCAAAAAAAACUUCACUCCACAGAUAUUAAAGUCAUAUAUAUAUAAAUAUAUAUAUAUAUAAACCUUUUCAGGAUCGCCACCCUUAUCAGGAUGGUUCUUGAUGGCUGCUUUUCUAUAAGCUUUCUUUAGAUCAUCUUGUGAUGCGUUCUUAGAGACUCCCAGAAUCUCAUAGUACUUUGUGUUGUCGCUUUUCUUUGGUGCUCUUCCAAACAUCCUUGCUUCUUUUUAUCACUGAAAUAAAAAUAAAAAAUAUCCGCAAAGACCCAAUUCACCAAAAUCAAAAUCAAAAUUGAGAUCAAGAAACCAAAAUAGAGUAAAAGAAAUCAAACGAAUAAAAGAAUCCAAAACGAACGGCAAAUAAUUUUUAAAGCAAAAAAAACGUACGGGUUGUUAGAUUAGGUCACAGGAGAGCCACAGAAACAAAGAAGCGAGACGGCGAGAGAGAGAAAGAGGGUUGUGGCUGGUGUCAGAUCGUUGUAUAUAAUGGAGAGAUUGGACGGUUGAGAUUUAAGAGUCAUAGGAAGGGUAGAUGAUCGGUAGGCUUCUCUAUAAGAAAGAGAAUUUUUCCUUUUCUUUUUAAUUUUAUUUUUAUAUUAUGUGAUUCGAAGGAUCUAGAAUCUCCGCCUAGCUAUUUCAUCUUUCAAUCUAGUUAAAAGAUAAUAAUAAUAAUUAUUAUAGCAUAUAUAAAUCAUCAUUAAUAAUAUAUAAAUAUAAUAUAUAUAUAAAUACAUAAAAAGUACAGAUAAAUUUAUUAUAAUUAAUUAUUUAUCCACGUAUUAUAUAAAUAUCAUAUUAUUAUUUCGAUUAUAAAAUUAAAUAUAUAGAAUUUAAUAAAUUUUUUAGUAUUAAUAUUAAUUUAUAAUAUUUUUUAAAAUAAUAAUAAACUAAUUAAUUUUAAUAUUUUUAUUUUUAAAAUUUUACUAGUAUAAUAAUAUAAAAUUUAUUUUAAAGUAUUUAUUUGUUGAUUUUAAUAUAAUAUAAAUUAAUACCAUCAAUAUAAUUGUUAUUACUAUUUUCUGAUAUUAUAAAUUAUUAUAUAAUUAAAAUUCAUUAGUAAUAUGAUAUUUAAAAUAUGCUUUUUUAUAAUUAGAAUCAUUUUUAAUUAGAAAAAUAAUUUAUUAGAUAAUAUAAUAUUUAAUCAUAAUUAAUAUCCUAUUUUUUAAAAUAAUUAUUAUUUAAUUAAUCUAAUUAAAAAAUUAAUUAUUAUCUAAUUAGAAAACUAAUCUAUUUAUAUAUUAAUUUUUGAGAUUUAAAAUGUUUUGAAUUUCUAUAUUUAAUUUUUGACAUAUAGAAAUUUUAUUUUGACAUAUAUAUUUAUUUUGACUUAUAGAAUUUAAAUUUAUAUAUUAUUUUAUAAUUUUUUUAAUUUACUGAUUAAUAAAUUAUAUUUCUAAUAAAAUGUUGAUUCUAAUUUUAAAAAAUAGUAUUUUAAUAAUAAAUUAGUUUUCUAAUUAGAUAACAAUUAAUUUUCUAAUUGCAUAAUAAUUAUUUUAAGAAAUAAUAUAUUAAUUAUAUUUUAAUAUUAUAUAAACUAAUAGAUUAGUUUUCUAAUUAGAUAAUGAUUCUAAUAAUAGAAAAGAAAAUUUUAAAUUUUAUAUUCACUGAUAAAUUAAUCUUUUAAUUAUAUAAUGAUAAAUUAAUUUCUAAUUAUAUAAUAAUUUAUAAUUCUAAAAAAUAGUAAUAUCAAUUAUAUUGAUAGUAAUAAUUUAUACAAUUAUAGAAUUUAUUAGGGUUUUGAUUUAUAAUAAAUAUGAUUAGAUUGGUUUCUUUCAUUAAUAUGUAUGAUAAUAGGUUUUUGAAUAUGAUAAUAAGAACUUAGGAUUUUUUGAGAGUUUGAUAUUUGCCAAUUAAGGUCUUAGAUUUGAUUAAGAAUAUGUUAUAUGGUUAAUAUUUAGAUCUUUUUGUCAAUAUAAUUAAGUACUUAAGCCCGAUAAAACAUGGUUCUUUUUGUUUUGAUUAUUUACUGUUAGUUUAUAAGAUUUAGGGUUUUAGCAAUUUAGAAUUUUGUUUGGUUUCUGUAACUUUUAUUUUGUUCUUUUUAAUCUGUUUUAUCUUAUUCUAAUUAAUUUUUGAUAUUUUUGCAUGUGAAAAUCGGCUACGGGGUGCGAGACUGUGCUGACGAACGAAGAAAAACCGAGAAAAACUUGCCUAAGGAACCUAGAGCCGAUCGACUCUUCAUAUAUAGCCGAUUGGCUAUUCAAGCCAAGCUCUAGAUUUUGUGUAUACUUGGCGUAUUUUGAUGUAUUCUCAACCUCUGUAUAGUUUUAGGUCUUUCUAUUUUUACAAUUGUAGUUGUAAGCGGGUUGUAAUAAUUAGGAAUUUUCUUACUGCUUUAUUUUCUUUAUUUUUGUUUAUUGUAUGUUAACCCAAUACAUGAUUAAGUGACUGAUUAAUUAAAAUGUGGCACAUAACCUUAGGCCAAAAAACAUAUUCAACAUGAAUUUGGUAACUAAUAAGCUAAUCAACCUUAAAUAGGCCUAAAACCUUAAAAUCCAAGUAGAUUAACGGGCUUUGGUACGUUUAGUUAGGGUCAUGAAUUUAGUUAGGAUUGAGAUUACAAUGAAUUAGCCUUCUCAUAACAAGUAGUCCAUUAGGCUUAAAGGUUGGAAUCCAAAGAGCAUAACAUGUGUAAUUCUAGUGGCAACCAAGAGGGGGGUGAAUUGGUUGAAAAGGCCAAAAACAAACUUAAACCAAAAAUGAAAAAUCAAGCACAACUCACAACACUAAGAAUUUAUAAUGGUUCGACCAACUCUUACCUACAUCCACUCUUUAAGAAUCUUUUUGAGUUUUCCACUACCAAAUAGAAUUACAAAUCUAACUUUAUUUACGUUCUUUUACAAGGCUAAGAACAAAUCCAAGUGUUUUUCCAAAGGCUCACACUCUAGCCCAAGUGUUUUCCUAAGCUCACACUCUAACCCACUCUAAGAUUUUUAAUCUUAGUUACAAGAGCUUUUAAUCCCUUACCCAAACACUCAAUCUCACAUUUUGAGCAAAAUUAAAUACUCAACUACUCAAAGAUUCAAUCACAAGCUUGAACCUUUAAUAUAGCAUAAAAGAUGAAGAUUUUGAGUUGUCGGGAGUAAAUGCAUAACGGAGGCUCAAAGUAAAUGCUCUUUCUUGACCUAGAACACUUAGAAAUAAUAUUUAAAUACUUCUAAGUGAAAUAGAGUCAUUGCACCCUCAUUAAAUGCAAAAAUAGCUGUUUUUUCAAUUUUCAUAAAAGCAGCUUCAUGGGCAUGAACAAUCAAUCCUUCACGAUCGUGAAUCAUCAGUGCGAAAAAUAAAUUUGAAAAGCUGAAACCCGUCACGGCCAUGAACAAUUUUUUACAGCUAUGAAAAUUGCUUUCACUGCUAAGAACUUUUUAUUCACAAUUGGAAACUCCGAUUUCUCGGCUUGGGAACUUUAUUCGUGAGCUCGUUUGUGAUUUCUUGAAAAUCUGAAGAGUCUCCAUUAUUCACAGGCUUGAACAUAUUUUUCAUGGCUGGGAAGAUUUGUUUACGGCUUAGGAAUCUUUCAUAUGAAUCCUUUUGUGGUUUCUUCAAGUUUAAAGGAGGAGAUCAUUUUUCACGGGCAUGAAUUAUUCUUUACGGCUGGAAAGAUCUCCUUCACGGCUUGGGAACUCUUCAUAUGAAUCAUUUUGUAGUAUCUUUUGUUUUUGAGGAAAAGAUCAUGUUCACGGGCAUGAAUAUUUCUUCAGGUCAUGAAAUCUCAUUUUCAUGGCUGGGAAGCAUAUGCCGUGAAUGCUAUUAUCUUUUUUGUUGUUUAAGGCGAGAAUUCUUCAUGUUUGGAAAAUUGAUAUUUCACGGCUAUAAAUAAAAGUUCACGGGCGUAAACCUGCCUUGUCUUACGAGAACCAAUUUUCUUUCCUUACACAUAUACACUCAAAUAUAAAAUUAGUCAUUCUUAAUUGUUUGUAAUCAUCAAAAUAGGAUUAAUAACCCUAAAGAUUCAACAUUCUCCCCCUUUUUUAUGGUGACAAACAAUUAUUUGUAAAAUAAUUUUUCCCCUAUCAAAAGAAGUUUAUGCUUAUGAUAUUUCAAUAGUUUAAAUAGCUUAUUCAAGAAUUGUAAUCAACUCAUUAAAAUCAUAGAAAGCCACGAAAUCAAUCAUAAUAAAGAAAGAUCAUUCAUUGACAAUUGAUGGUCAUCAACAUAAACACAACAUGAAUAUAAUAGGAUAAUAAUUAACUAAUCAAGGAAAAAGGAACAAGGAUAAUAUUUUUCUCCUCCUUUAGCAUGAACAAAAAGCAACAAGGCCAAAUAGAGAGAAGUACAAAAAAAUGUUCCCAAAGCACUAAAGUUAUAAAUGUAAAAAGUUUGAAAGGUGCUUAAAAGAAAGAAAGAACUAAGGAGGGCCUAGGAACUGAUCUUUGAUAAAUUUGACAUCAGCUUGAAGGGUGUCAUAUUUUCCUUCCAAACAUCAAAACCGAGCAUUAAAUUCACCAAACUUAGCAUCAAGCUUAUUGUCAAAAUGAGAGAUAAUUUGAUUAACCUAAGAAUCAGAAGAAGAAGAAGAGGAAUCACCCACUCCAUGACUUCGAGGACGCUUCCUAGAGGACUCAUCCUUUCCUUGCCAGAAAGCUUCUAAAUCUUGCUCUUCCCAGAUUGGCUUCCAUUAGCAUUGAGAAACCGGAACUCGUUGGAGGCCACGUCCUUAAUAACUUCCAUCUUAACCAAGCUUGUGAGGUCAAAAUAGAUAUCCUCAAGUUUGAUGGAGGGAAGGCAUUUUCUUCUGGAUGGAAGCACUUUAGAAAAAGAGUUAUUCUUGUCACCAAGCUUCCCGUAACAAUGUAACCUACCUUCUUUUGAGCCAUGGAGAAGCGGUGAUCCGCCAACCAACGACUAUAUGCCACUUGAUGAUUAUUUUCCAUGCACCAAAUGAAGAAUAACUCAAUUUUCCUAAUCGAUCCAUUGCUCUCACCACGACCACAAAUAGAGUAGGACAUGAAGCGAUGAAGGUAUUUGUGGGUAGGGUGAACAAAGAAAGAGGCUUUGAUAGUCUUAACAUCCUAAUUGCCUCCUGCUGUGAGUGAUUGCCAAGCCUUCCCUGGAGUGAACUCCACUAUCUUUCUCUCAUGUAGGGCACCCUCAUAAGAUAAUUCAAAAAUAGUGGCAAAUUGAAAGGCGGUGAGGGAUUUUUCUUAACCUUCAAGUUGGAAGGUCAUGUCUCCAUUUGGUUUGAGGUCUAGAGAGGAGAGAAACUCUAGGGUAAGUUCUCUAUAGGACUCUUCUUGAAUUUUUUUACAAAGGACAUCCACCCAUUCUUGGAGAAAAGUUCUACCAACGUCUCUUUUAAACCCAAUUCAACUAAAGUGACCCAAUAAAAACACCUAGUAGGGGUUACAUUCCUAAGUUUUAGUAAGCAUACCUUUUCUUAUGCUCUCUAUUGAGAAUAAAGGAGAGGAACUCACUACUUCCGGGUGAUUUUCCCUUCUUGAUGUAUCACAACUUCAUUCUACUAGCCAUGGAAGAGAUGAAUUAAAGAAUUUGAAGAUGAAAAAGGAGAGAGAAAGAGGAACUUGGUUUGAAAUUGGAGAAAAAGAACAAAAGAUUUUGAAAUUUUGAAAUGAAAUGAGUUGAUAUUGAAGGACUUUUUAAAAGAAUGUUAGUGGGAGUUGGAUAGUGGUUGGAGCGACGAGUUUGAUAAGGAUUAAAUGAGUUUUGAACAAUUUUAAAAGAGAACCAUUAGUUUUUAUUUUUAUAGAAAUCACAGUGUUCACACCCGUGAAAAAUUGUUAAUGGUCGUGAAAGCCUCAAACAUGCCUGUGAAGAAAUUUUCACGGCCGUGAAAACUAAAAUCACUGGUGGGACGCCUUCCCGUGACUUCUACUGCCAAAAAGAUGAUGUUUAGAGUCAAAAACCAUAUUCACGACCAUGAAGAAUAAUUCACGGCUGUAAACUGUCUUUCACGGGUGGAAAGAUUUGUUCCCAGCCGUGAAAUAAACAAAAGACAGAAAACAUUUGAAGAUCACAUUCUAAACAUGUUUAAGCAUAAAUUAGUCUUCUUAAAAAUUUAUAUAUGCUAAAAAAAUAUUCCUCAUAAGAGUGCUCCAUAAGAGUAAGCAAACACUCAAGGUUCACAUCUCAAGCAAAAAGAGUAAAGAAGGAAUAAGAUCAAAUUCAAUUCAUAGCAAAUUUCCAUCAAUCAUACCAAUUUCCCAUUUAAUAUAGUUUAUACACUCUUCAUUAAGGGGCUUGGUAAAAAAUAUCCAUAAGUUGAUGUGUUAUAUCAACAAAUUCUAAUACAACAUUACCAUUUUGCACAUGAUCAUGCAAAAAAUGAUGCCUAAUGUCUAUAUGCUUGGUCCUAGAAUGCUGAAUAGGAUUCUUGAAGAUGUUAAUGGCACUAAUAGUAUCAUAUUUGAUGGGAAUAUGAUCAAUAGAGACUCCAUAGCCUGCAAGUUAUUAUUUAAUCCAUAAUACUUGAGUGCAAUAAUAUUUGACGGCUACAUAUUCAGCUUCGACCAUUGAUAAGGCAACUAAACUUUAUUUUUUGCUAAACCAAGAAAUAAGGCAAUUUCCUAGGAAUUGGCAAGUAUCAGAGGUACUUUUCUUAUCUAGAAUGUAACCAGUAUAAUCUACAUCCGAACAACUAAUGAAAUCAAAUGCAUUACCCUUGGGUACCAAAGACCUAUGCAAUGUGCCAACAAGAUAUUUUAAAACCCUUUUUAUCACAUGCAAAUGAGAUUCUUUAGGACAAGAUUGAAAGGAGCACAUAAAUAAAUGGAAAACAUAAUAUCCAGUCUACUAGCAGUAAAAUAGAGAAGGCUACCAAUCAUACCUUGAUAUUUCUUAUCACAAAUUGAUUUACCACUUUUGUCCUUAUCUAUAUUGAUAAUUGUGGUCAUGGGAGUUUUGCUUGGUUUUGCUCCAUCCAUGCCACACUUCUUGAGCAACUUCUUGGUAUACUUCGCUUGAUUUGUGAAGAUUCCUUCAUCACAUUGUUUUAUUUGAAAUCCAAGAGAGUACUUGAGCUCUCCAAUCAAGCUCAUCUCAAACUCACUUUGCAUAUACUUAGAGAACUCAUCACUCAAGCAUUCGUUAGUAGCACCAAAUAUAAUAUUAUCCACAUAUAUUUGUACAAUCAACAUAUCAUGCUUAUACUUUUUAAUUAAAAGGGUCAUGUUGACCUUUCCUUUAAAAAACCAUUUGAUAAAAGAAAUGAGCUUAAUCUCUUAUACCAAGCUCUAGGAGCUUGUUUUAAACCAUACAAAGCCUUUUGUAAUUUGAAGAUAUAAUUUAGAAAUUCAUGGUUUUUAAAUUCGGAGGUUGCUCAAAAACUAUUUCCUCCUCAAUAUAACAUCCAUUUAAAAUAAUUUAAAUUUCAUGUGAGAUGCAUAUGUAAGUAAUAGUCUAAUUGCCUCUAACCUUGCAACGGGAGCAAAGGUUUCAUCAUAGUCUAUUCAUUCUUCUUGAUUAUAGCCUUUAGCUACUAGCCUAGUUUGAUGAGCAUAGUUUGAUGAGCAUAGUUUUACACAUAUUUGCUUGCAUACUAUUGCGUAUGUUCUUAGCAAUUAUUGUGCUUUUAUUCCCAGAUCACUCGUGUUUUGUGUUCUUUUGCAUUUCAGGAACAUUUAUAGGACCAUCAUCGGUGUUUAAGCAAUUAUAGAUCAAUACGUGCGGAAACGGAUGAGAAUUCAUCAAGAUCGGACAAGAGCCUACGUUGCACACAUUGAGCAUGGCCUGAGUCAAGGCCUUGCUGACCAUCACAGCCUAGACUCUGGCCGUGACCAACCAUCGAAACUUGGUCUUCAAAAUAAUGGUUUGAGCAUAGUUUCCGUAGCCACCACGGCCUCCAGCACGGCCCGUGGUGGCCAGCACGGGGAGCAACAUGGUCAUGGUGAAACCCUAGUUGGUGAGAUCCACAGUUUCAGCACGGCAUGGACUCCGGCCGUGCUGAGUUAAAUAUAUAAGAAAAAUGAAUUUCUCUUAGAAAAUGGGGAAGAGAGAGAGGAAAAAGAGUGACAUAGAGCCCUGGCAGCUGGUUCGGUUUCUACACAGUAUUGAGUGCGAGAGAGAGUUGCGGGGAGUAAGAAUCCCGAAAUCGCAAGGUUCCGAGUGCAAAACCGUAGUGGAAGCAAUUCAAGAGGCAGUUUGUGAGAUUAAUCAAAGUGUAGAUCCAGAUUUGGAGCUGUUCAUCCAAUUCGAGAGAAAAGGGUGUACAUAUUUUAUUUUCAUUAUUCUUUCAUUGUAAUUGAUUUCCUAGAUUGUUUUAAACAUGAACAGGUUUAGCUAGACUUAUUUAAUCCAUUGGGAUUUCUUUACUAUGUUGGCUUGAUAUUAUAUUGUUGGAUUGUUUGAGUUGGUUUUGUAUUCUUCUUAUUUUCAGUAUUAAUAAGNNNUCGUUAGGAGAGAUUCCAACUUUAGGUUAUUAGGUUUAGGAAUUCGGUUAUCUCGAGAGAGAAACCGAAUUCGGUUAAGAAUUCGUCCACGGGUAGCAUAAUUAGACUCACCGAUCCUUUAUCUUUUGUUUGAUUGCCAACUAGUUUAGAUUCCCUUUGGGUUUGUCUUCUUGUCUUGAUUAUUUCACUUAUCAAUUACUCAUGCAUCUCCCUUAGAACUUAGCUCGUAGUUAAUAGUUAGUUUAGAAUUUAUUCAUCAUCCAUUUUAGGUUAAUAUAACAAAGAACAAAGGAGUAACUCUAGGCUUUCGCUUUCCCAAGGAAUACGACCUUGAUACUCUCCAUUAGUGUUAGACUGCAUCGAUAGGUACACUGCCUUAGAUUGUAGCUAACACGAGUAGCACACAUCAAGUUUUUGGCGCCGUUGCCGGGGAUUGUUUGAAAACUAGAGUGAAAUUUGCUAUUUGUUAAUUUAGCCAUUUUUUUCUUUUCUUAUUAUUUUAUGGUUUUUAUUUUUAUUUGUUUUUUUAUUUUAUUUUAUUUGUACAUAUUUAUUUAGUUUAAGUUUAUGAUUCAGAUAGUGAAUGAUAAGGAGGUUCAAUGCUAAACUCAAACUCUUUGUAUGAUGCGUUGGAAAAUGGGAUCGGGAACCAAGAGAGUGCUAAAAAUUGGGAUGCCCGUGCAUCUUUAGAAGCUCGAGUGGAAUCGUUUUGCAGGGCUACCGAUCAACUCUCUUCUCCUAUCCUUUCAUCUCAAGUCUUUUAUGAAUUUUGUUGUGGUUUACAUGUGUGUAAUGAUUGUCCAUUGUAUAGUGAUGUUGCUCAUUGUUCUUAUAACUGUGAACAGGUGAAUUAUACGGGAAGUUGGCCAAAUGACUCAUAUGGAAGCACCUACAAUCAAGAGUGGAGCACUCAUUCACCCUUUGGAUGGAGCUUAGAUGACCAAGAACCACCGAAAUUUCAGCAGCCUAAUCUUGCACCAUCAACUCAAGGUGAAGAGUUAGUGUCAGAGGAGCUGAUGAUGAGGUUUAUUGCAAGUCUUGAGGAUAGAUUCCAACAAACAGAGAGGGUACUUGAAGGUCAACAAGCCUCGAUUGAGAAUAUAGAGCAGCAAGUAGGCUUGAUUUUCAAGUUACUAGCGGAAGAGCAAUUGGGAACUCCAUCAAACGCUACUGAAUCCGAGGAACACUUGAACGCCGUCACUUUGCGUUCAGGUGAGAAUUUUUCUGGUUUAUCUACUAUGUUUGACGAUGAUGCUUCUGUGCAGGACGAUUUCUUGAACAUGGAGAUGGAACCAGAAAAGGAAGAGGCAAACAUAAUCCCUCUGAAAGACUACCAACUAGAAUGUACAAUUGAUGAUGUUGAGUUGCAGUUAGAGGAAUUGUUGAUAGAUUUUCCACAAGUCCCUUCAAUGAUGGAAGAUGAGCACGAGUUAUCCAAUGAAGAAGUCUUGGAGGAGCUCGAGUUUCUCCUAGCAAGUGAACCAAGCCAAGGACUGAAGAAAACCAUCAACACUCCUGAAGAAAUUGCCCAACCGUCGAUCCUUUCAAUUGUUGAAACUCCAACUUUCAAAUUGGAAGAGCCCCUAGAGCAUCAUGACUACGUGCAAUUAUAUGAGGAGCGAGUUUUGCCCAUCAUACUGACAGCUUGCUUGACUGUCGGGAAGAGGAAGUUGACGAUUAUCCCUCUAAGCGGAUAUUUGAAGCCAUUUGCUUGGAAGAAGGAUGGAUGGUCACCAAUCCCCAAUGUUUGCUUUUCACCAUGAGUCCAGCUAAGAAGACUCAUCACAUAAAAAAGAAGCGCUUUUGGGAGGCACCCCAAACUUUAUCUUUAAUCUUUAAUAUUUUAACCUUUUGUUUUGAAACAUUUUAUUAGUUUUAGUUUUCAUAUUUUCAGUUUCGAUUUUAUUUUUUUAUUUUAUUAUUUUCAGAUUCUACCGAGGAGGUACUGAAUUUCUACAACAUCAGCCUCGAUGGAUGAUCAAGGCAGUCCCCUAGAUCUUUUUAUUUUUUUGCAUUUAUUUACUUUAUUUUUUAUACAUGUCAUGCACUUGGAUUGUAUUGCCUUUGUUCUCUUAGUUGAGCAUUCCAUGCGGGGUAUCCAUAAUAUUUUACACUGAGGACAGUGUGUUCUUCAAGUGUGGGGUGCUUAUGGGUAAACCUUAAUCUCUCAUAUGGAUUUUUAAUAUAUCUGAAAUUGCUAUGGCUAGGUGUUGUGUAUUUUUAGGGGAUGUUAGGACACUGUGUUUUUAUGCACUUGAGUAUGCUAUUUUUGAGCUGAUUGAUGACUUGAUUUAUAGAAUUGUAGUUACUUUUCUUUGUUGUUCAUUGUCCUUAGAAAACAAUUUAUGGUGUUUUACACAUCAACCCUGCCGGGUUAAACCGGUGUUAUUUAAUUAUUUUUUCGAAUUGUCGAAUUUUAACUUAGAACGUUGAUAAUAUCAUAUGCAUGUGUUUCUUAAGUAAUGAUUCAAUUAAUGAUGUUGCGAACCAACUGCACCUAAUACCACACCUGAAAGUGAGAUUUUGAGCCAGUUGAGCAUUCAUUAUACUUAUGCUCUUUAUAUUUCUUGUUUGAGUGUGUAUUGUACUUAACUUUGCUUCUAGAACUUGCUUUGUAAUGCGUGUUGAAGUUACAUGAAUAUUGUGAAUACCAUGAGAUGAUUUGGGCGAUUUAGGAUUCACCACAUUUGACCAAAAGCCUAUCACCUUAUGUUUCCAUUAGUUAGCCAGUUUUUGAGCCUUAACCUUUUCUUCAUAAUCUACACCUAUACACUUCAAUUAUACCAUUCUUUACAUUUAUCUUUCCUUUACCCUUAUGUUGGAAUUUCUUUCUGUGAUUUUUUCAACUUUAUGUGGGAUUAAAAUGCUAGUUGCUAUGUUGGUAAAUUCACUAAAUCUUUUUGAUAUUUUAAAUGCUCCCUUUAAUCCAAUUUGUAAUUGUUAUUCUUUAUGUUUAUUCGAGUUGUAUGCAGCGGUCGCUAAUAAGCUGCUAGUUCAUUAUGAAAAAAAAGAAGAAGAAAAAAAAAAAGAAUAUAUAAUAAACAAAUCUCUUUAAUUAUUUAUCUUUUUAUUGGAUUUAGAGCAUUUGCGAGCGUUAUUCUAUGAAGUAGGGAUUUUAGUGAAUGAUUCUUUUUGUGAUCUUAGGCAUUUAAUCCUUUGAGCAUAUACUAUUGUUUAUCGCACGAAUUCCAGCACUUUCACACUUCUAUCCAAAUCUCCGUACCUUUACCUUAGCCCCAUUUCAACCUUGGUAAAGACCCUUUGAUUUUGGUAUUUACUUAUUCAGUAGCGAAGAUAUGAUUUAUGAGCAAGCUUAUGGUGAGCGGGUCUUGUGCAUUUGCUUUGAGGGAUUUGUUAUUCACCUAAUAUACACUUUGAGCGACUUGAGUGAUCCCUGUGAGGCAUUGGUUCAUGAUGUUUGUGUUGAGUUGUCAUUUAAGUUACUCAUGCAUUAAUAUUAUUUCCAUUCGUUGUUAAUGAUUUGCAAUUUGAUUUAUGAUUGAGUAUCCUUUGAGAUGUGUUGAGUACUAUCUGUUGUGGACUAGGGGCAUAAACUGCAAGGAAUUGCUAACUGUACUUUUAUGGGUUGAGUUGUUAAUUGCUUGAGGACAAGCAAUAGCUUAAGUGUGGGGUAAUUUGAUGAGCAUAGUUUUACACAUAUUUGCUUGCAUACUAUUGCGUAUGUUCUUAGCAAUUAUUGUGCUUUUAUUCCCAGAUCACCCGUGUUUUGUGUUCUUUUGCAUUUCAGGAACAUUUAUAGGACCAUCAUCGGUGUUUAAGCAAUUAUAGAUCAAUACGUGCGGAAACGGACGAGAAUUCAUCAAGAUCGGACAAGAGCCCGCGUUGCACACAUUGAGCACGGCCUGAGUCAAGGCCGUGCUGACCAUCACGGCCUGGACUCUGGUCGUGACCAACCAUCGAAACUUGGUCUUCAAAACAAUGGUUUGAGCACAGUUUCUGUAGCCACCACGGCCUCCAGCACGGCCCGUGGUGGCCAGCACGGGGAGCAACACGGUCAUGGUGAAACCCUAGUUAGUGAGAUCUACAGUUUCAGCACGGCAUGGACUCAGCACGGCCUUGACCACGGCCGUGCUGAGUUAAAUAUAUAAGAAAAAUGAAUUUUUCUUAGAAAAUGGGGAAGAGAGAGAGGAGAGAGAGUGACAUAGAGCUCUGGCGGCUGGUUCGUUUUCUACACAGUAUUGAGUGCGAGAGAGAGUUGCGGGGAGUAAGAAUCCUGGAAUCGCAAGGUUCCGAGUGCAAAACCAUAGUGGAAGCAAUUCAAGAGGCAGUUUGGGAGAUUAAUCAAAGUGUAGAUCGAGAUUUGGAGCUGUUCAUCCAAUUCGAGAGAAAAGGGUGUACAUGUUUUAUUUUCAUUAUUCUUUCAUUGUAAUUGAUUUCCUAGAUUAUUUUAAACAUGAACAUGUUUAGCUAGACUUAUUUAAUCCAUUGGGAUUUCUUUACUAUGUUGGCUUGAUAUUAUAUUGUUGGAUUGUUUGAGUUGGUUUUGUAUUCUUCUUAUUUUCAGUAUUAAUAAGAUUAUGCAUUAUUCAUGAGACGUUGUGAAUUGUGAUGUUUAGAUUGCUUUAUGAGAUUGAGAAAUCCGUUUGGCAAUUGGAAUUUUGAAUAACAAGAACUGGUUAAUAAUCGCUUAGAGAUAAGGAUAAUUAACUAGCCGGAUUAAGAAUUAACAAAGCUUAAUAGAGGCGGAUUAAAGCUUAAUGCUAAUUUAAGAAUCAAUCGUUAGGAAGAGAUUCCAACUUUAGGUUAUUAGGUUUAGGAAUUCGGUUAUCUCGAGAGAGAAACCGAAUUCGGUUAAGAAUUCAUCCACGGGUAGCAUAAUUAGACUCACCGAUCCUUUAUCUUUUGUUUGAUUGCCAACUAGUUUAGAUUCCCUUUGGGUUUGUCUUCUUGUCUUGAUUAUUUCACUUAUCAAUUACUCCUGCAUCUCCCUUAGAACUUAGCUCGUAGUUAAUAGUUAGUUUAGAAUUUAUUCAUCAUCCAUUUUAGGUUAAUAUAACAAAGAACAAAGGAGUAACUCUGGGCUUUCGCUUUCCCGAGGAAUACGACCUUGAUACUCGCCAUUAGUGCUAGACUGCAUCGAUAGGUACACUGCUUUAGAUUGUAGCUAACACGAGUAGCACACAUCAGAGAUGCAUAUGUAAGUAAUAGUCUAAUUGCCUCUAACCUUGCAACGGGAGCAAAAGUUUCAUCAUAGUCUAUUCAUUCUUCUUGAUUAUAGCCUUUAGCUACUAGCCUAGCCUUAUUCCUAGUAAUGGUACGAUUUUCAUCAAGUUCAUUUCUAAACACCCAUUUGGUCUAGGAACUAAUUGCCAAAUCUUAUUUUUCUCAAAUUGAUUGAGCUCUUCUUGCAUGGCAAGUACCCAAUUAUUAUCAACUAAGGCCUCAUCAAUAGAUUUAGGCUCAAUUUGAGAGAGAAAUGCUAAAUUAAUGAUAUUUCUAAGAGAGGAUCUAGUAGUUAUCCCUUUUGAUGGUUCACCAAUGAUUUGGUCUUUGGGAUGGUCCUUCUUGAAUUGCCAAUCUCUAUCAAGACUGGUGUGGACUUGAAUAAAUUGAUAAGGGGUCUUUAAUCCUCAUUGGAUAUGCCAAUUUGUUGUUGAGUUAAGGGAGAGUCGAACAUACAUACACCAUCAUCAAUAACAACUACCUUUCUCGGAUCAAGUGAAUUAGACUCAUCGAAUAAAACAUGUAUGAACUCUUUAACAACUUGAAUUCUUUUAUUGUAGACUCUAUAGGAUUUACUAGUUGUGGCAAUACCCCAAAAAUAUUCCUUCAUUAGUUUUUGAGUCAAUAUUUUCAAGAUUAUACUUUGUAUUUAAUAUGUAGCAUUUGCAACUGAAUACCCUUAAAUAUGAAAUCUUAGGCUUUCUACAUUCCAAAGCUCAUAAUGAGUUUUAUUUAAAAUAGGUCUAAUAUAAACACAGUUUACAAUAUAACAAGCGGUGUUGACGGCUUUGGCCCAGAAGUACUUAGGAAGAUUGUACUCAUUAAGCAUGGUUCGAGCCACCUCUACCAAUGUUCUAUUCUUCCUUUCAAUAAUCCCAUUUUUUUGAAGUGUCCUAGGGGAAGAAAAGUUAUGAGAAAUACCCGUUUGUUUGCAAAGAUUUUAAAAUUUUUAUUUUCAAAUUCUUUACCGUGAUUGCUUCUAAUAUAAGCAAUUUUGAAACCUUUUUCAUUUUGAAUUCUUCUUUAAAUUCUAAAAAAUAAUUCAUAACUUUCAUCCUUACGAGCAAGAAAGGUUACCCAAGUGUAUCUAGAAUAAUCAUCCAUAAUUAUAAAUGCAUAUUGUAUGCCACUUAAUCUAGCAACCCUACAUGGUCCAAACAAAUUCAUAUGCAAGAGUUGAAGAGGUUUAGAGGAGGUUACCUUAUUUUUGGCUUUAAAGGAAUUCUUGUGUUGUUUACCUAUUUGACAUGCUCCACAUACCCUGUCUUUAUUAUAUUUGACUUUUGGUAGGCUAAGGACAUGCUCAUCUUUGUAUAAAUUCCUAAGUAGCUCCAUGCUAGCAUACUCGAGUCAUUUAUGCCACAUCCAAGAGUCAUCAUUCAAGGCUACAAGGCACUCAAUCUUUUGAUUAGUGAAUUUAGCAAGGUCAACCAUGUGUACAUUGUUAAUCUUUUCACCAUUAAACACGAUUUUGUUCUCAUUCCUUUGAGUGAUAAACAAGUUUGAUGGUUAAAGGUUACAUUAUAUCCUUUAUAACAUAGUUUACUAAUACUGAAAAGAUUUAUUUUAGAUGAUCUACACAUAGCAUAUUAUUAAUUAGGGGUGAGUCUUCCUUACUAAUUUUUUCAAUGCCAAUGAGUUUACCUUUAGUAUUGUCAUUGAAGGUUACCUUAUCUCCAUUUUUCAUCUCGAGGAGUGAAAAGAGAUGUGGAUUACCUGUCAUGUGUCUAAAGCACGUACUAUCAAGGUACCACUUGUUUUCCUUUGUAGUACUCUUCAGGCACACCUACAAAAUAAAGAUAUCACUUCCCUUUAGGUACCCAAAUGUAGUUAGGUCCUUUAUUGUUAGUCUUGGAUACAUUACCAAAUGGAUGUCCCAUAUGGCUCAUCCUCAUAGGACGCUUAUAAUUUAUGUGUUUAUUCAUGAAAUAAUAAAAGCAAGUCACAUUUGUAAGAUGGUGAUUAUGAAUUUGAUGCAAAUGCCCAUUCCUCAAAGGUCUAGCAUGUGAGUGCUUAUGAUCAUGUAUUCUCCUUUUAUGUGAGGCUUUAGAGCCUUGAGCUCUUUGCCUUUGCCUUCCUUGACCACUUGCCCUUUUGGGUUGGGUCUUGGAAGGUGGAGCUUGAGCUCCUCUAAGUCUAGAGCAAAUAAAUUAGAUGGUUUCACAAAUAUUGCUUUAUUCUUAUUAGAAGAACCAUGUUCAAAACCUACACCAUGCUUAAUCGAAGGUGAUUUUUGAGCAUUUAUCAAAUCAUCGAGUUUUUCUUUACCCUUUGAAAACUUAGCGAUUUGAGAAUUUAUUUUUGAAAGCUCCUUUUUCAAAUUCUCAUUUUCUUUAGAAUAAUUCAAGUUUUCAAUGGUCAAAGUUUCGUUGAGUUUGGCAACUUUCAUAUAUUCUAAAAAAGCCAUCUUUCCUUUAAACAAACAUUCUUCUAAGGAUGUAGUUAACUCCUCAUUGGAUUUAGAAAGUGAGCUAAUCUCAAUCUUUAAAUCAUUAGUUAGCUUUCCAAGCUCAUUUAUUUUAUUUUCAAAAAAUAAUUUCUUUAAAAUUAUUUGAUCACACUUAUGAAUUAUAAUGUCACACAUCUCAAUAAGUUCAACAUAAGUGGGAAAGUUAGAGUCAAAUACUUCAUCAUUUGUAGGUUCCUCCAUUACCAUGCAGCCAAAGUUUGCUACCUCACUCUCACUCAAGUUGUCAUCAUCUUCAGAUUCGGUAGAUUCAUCCCAAGUAGCCUUAAGUGCCUUCUUCUUUUGCUUCUUGGGGUACUUCUUAAGCUUGGGGCAAUCCACUUUGAUAUACAUGGUUUGUUGCAACCGAAGCAUAUGAUUGAUUCUUUCUUGGUGUCAUCAUGCUUUUUGAACGAUAUGUUAAACUUCUUCUUCUUCAUGAGAAUGUUUCUUAGCUUCUUGGAAAUGAGAGCAAGAUCCUCAUCAUAGUCAUCAUUAUAAUCACUUUCUCUAUCACUUGAGAUGACUUCCUUGGCUUUUAGUGCAAUUAACUUCUUCUUCUCUUCCUUGACUUCCUUGGCUAUUUAUUUUUUAUAAUUUAUCAUGAUCAUCUCAUGAGUGAGAAGUUUGUCCAUAAAGAGGUCAGUAGAAAGAGUGGGGAGGUCAUUGGCUUCUUCAAUGGAGUUCACUUUUGACUCCCACUCCUUUUUAGGAAGAACUAUUAAAAUUUUAAUGUUGAUCUCUUCAAGUUGAUAUAUCUUGCCAAGAUAAGUCGGCUAUAUAUUUUGAAGACCUUUUCAUCCGGCUUCAUUUGGAACAUUUCAUACUCAUGUACCCAGAUUUGAGUAUUCUUAGUCUUGACUUAAGUAGUCCCUUCAUGUUUGUUUGCCAAUGAAUCCCAAAUCUCCUUAGCAAAAAGGCAAUGUUCAACUCCACUGUACUCUUCUCUAGAUAGAGCAUAAUAGAAGAUAUUCAUGGCUUUUCUAUCCCUUGAGUAAAGCUUUCUUUCUUCAAGAGACCAUUCUUUCUUUGUCUUGAGCACUUAAAUACCAUUUUCUCUCUUUGUUAGAAAGGUUACAACUUCUUCUACUAUGUCCUAUAGGUCAAUUCUGUCAUCUUCAAGGAAUAUCUCCAUGCAAUUUUUCCAAUAUGGGAAUCACUUCCAUCAAAGAAAGGUGGCCUAUUGAAUGCUUGACCGAUUUCAUCAUGGUUUGAUGUGGAUGCCAUGGACCUUUACUUCAAGAUGAUUAAAUCUUUGAUGAAGAAGCCAAUGCUUUGAUACCAAAUGUAAUUCUAGUGGCAACCAAGAGGGGGUGGGGGGUUGAGUUGGUUGAAAGUGAAAACCAAAAACAAACUUAAACCAAAAAUGAAAAAUCAAGCACAAAUCACAACACCAAAAAUUUAUAAUGGUUCGACCAACUCUUGCCUACAUUUACUCCUCAAGAAUCCUCUUGAGAUUUUCAUUAUCAAAUAGAAUUAUAAAUCUAACUCUAUAUUGUGUUCUUUUACAAGGCUAAGAAUAAACCCAAGUGUUUUCCCAAAUGCUCACACUCUAACCCAUAUAUUUUCCUAAGCUCACACUCUAACCCACUCUAAGAUUUUUAAUCUUAGUUAUAAGAGUUUUUAAUCCUUUACCCAAACACUUAGUCUCACAUUUUGAGCAGAAUUAAAUACUUAAUUAUCCAAAGAUUCAAUCAUUAGCUUGAACCUUUAAUACAAUAUAAAAAGAUGAAGAUUUUGAGUUGUUGGGAGUAAAUGCAUAACGGGAGCUCAAAGUAAAUGCUUUUUCUUGACCUAGAACACUUUGAAAUGAUGUUUAAAUACUUCUAAGUGAAAUAGAGUCGUUGCACCCUCACUAAAUGCAAAAAUAGUCAUUUUUGCAACUUUCAUAAAUGCAGCUUCACAGGCAUGAAUAAUCCUUCACGACCAUGAAUCAUCAACGCGAAAAAAGAUUUGAGAAGCUAGAACCUGUCAUGGCUAUGAAAAUUGCUUUCAUGGUUGGGAACUUUGAUUUCACGUCUUAGGAACUUUUUUCGUGAGCUUUUCUGCGAUUUCUUAAAAAUCUGAAGAGUCUCCAUCAUUCACGGGCAUGAAUAUCUUUUUACGGGCGUGAACAUCUUAUUCAUAGCUAGGAAGAUUUGUUCACGGCUGGAAAUUCAUGUUCACGGCUUGGGAACCUUCCCCGUGAACCUUUCUGUCAUCUCUUCAAGUUUAAAGGAGGAGAUCAUUUUUCACGGGCGUGAAUUAUUCUUCAUGACUGGAAAGAUCUCCUUCACGAGUUGAGAACUCUCCUCGUGAAUCCUUCUGUUGUAUCUUUUAUUUUUAAGGAAGAGAUCAUGUUCACGAGCGUGAAUAUUUCUUCACGACAGGAAAGAUCUCCUUCACGGGUUGGAAACUCUCCCUGUGAAUCCUUCUAUGGUAUCUCUUUUUUUUUAGAAAGAGAUCAUGUUCACAAAUGUGAAUAUUUAUUCACGACCGUGAAUUCUCAUUUUCAUGGCUGGAAAACAUGUUGUGAAUGCUACUGUUCUUUUUGUUGUUUAAGGCAAGAAUCCUUCAUGUCUGGGAAACUAAUAUUUCACAGCCGCGAAUAAAAGUUCACGGGCGUGAACCUGCCCUGUCUUCAAAGAACCAAUUUCCUUUCUUUGCAUAUAAACACUCAAACAUAAAAUUAGUCAUUCGUAAUGUUUNNNNNNNNNNNNNNNNNNNNNNNNNNNNNNNNNNNNNCAACCCUCAAGGUUCAACAACAUGUAAUUUGGCUAGAAUAGGGUGGGCCUUACACAUAAUUAGUCAGUAAGCUAGAUUAACAACUUAAACAUGGGCUGGACUUAAAUAAAAUGGGCUAGACUUAGGUGUAUUAUGUGUUGUUUUGACAUGCUUGUAUAUAAAUUGCUUGCAUUUAUAGGGAAUACUUUGUUAAAUAGUAAAUUUAAAGACUGAUAUACAUAAAUAAGGAAGUUAGCUUUCAGAUCCAUCCUUGGACUCAGUGGCAUAAGCUUCCUUGUGGAAUCAGAAAAACGUCACUCAUUAGUAAAAGUGUCCCGAUGAUUACCCAGGUGGUGACUUUCAUCUCCGCACUAAUCUUAGUGAUUAGAUAGCAUGUUCUCGAUUAGGUUGAAAGCCUUAUAGUACCGUAGUCACUAAAGACACUUAAGUGUACACUCGAAACAGCUGCCCACAAUGGCGACUCCACUAGGGAUAACAAAAGUUUAUUCUAGUGUACGUUUGUCUUUAAAUUUGUUAUUUAACAGAUUAUUCUUGUAUCCCUACACUUUCACACACUGUACACAUUAGUUUAUAUAGCCCCUCCAAUGACGUUGGCUAGUAGUUCUUUGGUUCCACUUGAAUCCUAGAAUUGCGACACUGGCUACUAUCAUUCAUAAGUAAUGAGUGUAUCUCCUUCGUCAUAUGGACCCUUGAGUGGGGAGACGAGCCAAGUAAGAAUACUUUUACUUGUGGGAGCCUUUUACCUUAUCCAAGACUCAGCUCAUGGUAAUGAUCAUAGUAAUCUCCCCUAGGUACCCUGUUGAUGUGCGUAAAAUACAUACAUCUAAAUGGGGUUUUUAAGAUUGAUUUUAUGGACAUUUGGAUGUGAAUUGGUCUCAAUACUCACCCUAUACGUAUGUUUAUGUGCAUUAGGUCCAAAAAAGGUCAAAGGAUGAUAAAGGAAAGAAUUGAAGCAUAAUUGGACGUCAAAGCUGCCGAAACGAGCUAAGUACGAUCAUGAGGAAGCUGAACAUGGCCGUGUUCCCAACACGGGAACCAACACGGCCGUGUUGGGUGUCAUCAAACAUAAAAGAAAAAUAAGUUCUUAGCGAGCACGGCCACAGAGAGUGACACGGCUAGGAAUACCAGACCGUGUCCCCAACAUGGCCGUAUUGGAGGCGAUAGGGGUAUUAAUUAAAAGAACGAAGAGAGGAAAGAAUAGGAGGAGGCUAGGGUUAGAACGUCCCAAACCCUAAUUUUUCUCUUCCUAAGGGUUUUCUGAGCUGAAACCAAGGGAAAAAGAGACUUGGAUCAAGGUUUCAAUCAGAUUUCCUUGAAGGAUCGAAGAUUGGGCGAGGUUCGUUGAUUGAUUUUCAAAUCGAGCAAGAGGAACAAGAAUCGAUUCAAUUGGAGCAAAAGGAUUUGGGGCUGUUUACUCUCAUCCAAGGGUGUAAUCGGGUUUUCUCUACCUUUGCUUAUUGUUGUAAUUGAAUUCUUGUAUAUUUUGAGAAUGAACAUGAUUAGCUAGAUUGAUUAAAUCCAUUGGGAUUUCUUUACUAUGUUGGCUUGAUAUUAUAUUGUUGGAUUGUUUGAGUUGGUUUUGUAUUCUUCUUGUUGCAGUAUUAAUAAGAUAAUGCAUUAUUCAUUAGACGUUGUGAAUUGUGAUGUUUAGAUUGCUUUGUGAGAUUAAGAAAUCCGUUUGGCAAUUGGAAUUUUGAAUAGCAAGAACUGGUUAAUAAUCACUUAGAGAUAAGGAUAAUUAACUAGCCGGAUUAAGAAUUAACAAAGCUUAAUAGAGGCGGAUUAAAUCUUAAUGCUAAUUUAAGAAUCAAUCGUUAGGAAGAGAUUCCAACUUUAGGUUAUUAGGUUUAGGAAUUCGGUUAUCUCGAGAGAGAAACCGAAUUCGGUUAAGAAUUCAUCCACGGGUAGCAUAAUUAGACUCACCGAUCCUUUAUCUUUUGUUUGAUUGCUAACUAGUUUAGAUUCCCUUUGGGUUUGUCUUCUUGUCUUGAUUAUUUCGUUUAUCAAUCACUCUUGCAUCUCCCUUAGGACUUAGCUUGUAGCUAUUAGUUAGUUUAGAAAUUAUUUAUCGCUAAUUUUAGGUUAAUAUAACAAAGAACAAAAGAGUAACUCUGGGCUUUCACUUUCCCGAGGAAUACGACAUUGAUACUCGCCAUUAGUGCUAGACUGCAUCGAUAGGUACACUGCCUUAGAUUGUAGCUAACACGAGUAGCACCCAUCACCUGUUGCUUGCUAUAUGAGAUGUUCUUCCUUGUAAGUGUUUUAAGCCCAAAUAUUGAAAUGCUUUGGCCCAAAUAUGGAACCAGGCCCCAGGCCUAAAAUAUGCAGGCUUUUAUGCUUACACUAAGAAACAUCACCUUGUUUAUUUUAAAUUUGCUUUGAGAGAUUAUGACAUGAGAGUCGAGCCUACUAUCCCCUGUUGAUAGAAAGCCCAAGCCAAGCCUAGGAAGAAAGACUUACUACAAACCAUGUGUAGGAGUAAUAAGGUUGGAAGGAUAAAUUGUAUACUACUGUGUGUGUGCUAACCUUUUUUCUUUUAUCCUUGUGUAAAGCACGUGCAUCAUGCAUCCCAUGCAUCAUAUGCAUCAUAUUAACCUUUUCUUUUUUAGCCAUAUAGAUUCUCCUAUGAGUUGGAAGAGGUAAGACAGUGGAAGGUUGGAGAGAGUGCCCACCUCUCCAAGGAUCAGAAUUGUAUUAGAGCACUUAGAAAGACCGAGAUGCCAAGAAGAGAUGGCCAACAAAAGAGCUAAUGAACAAGACAUUGAAAUCCUCAAGAAUGUUAUAAUCGAAGACUUGAGGGGUGUGAUUCAGGAGGAACUUUAACAACUCUUAGCGGGGAUAGUUGUAAACCAAGCCCCACCUGCUGCUCCGGCUAUACCAACUAACCCGCAUGUUGCUAUGACCUGAUUGUGGUUGCCGCUAAGACUAUUGUUGCCCUUGCAGCUCCACUAAUGCCGCAGCCAAUGCUAAUGCCGAAGAUCCAGCUAGAAGGGGAGUGCCUCGAAACUUUUGGGAGAGUUUAUGCUUGACUAGGCUAAGAGGGAGACUGCCCUUGCUACUAACAAAGCUGUAAACGGACUGAGUGCUCGGCUUGACAAGAUGCAGGGUAUACUAGGAAUCAAAUGUUUGGACUCAACCUAAUAAUUUCAAAGAGCUGGUAUUGAUGGGAGAAGACAAGCUGCCUGCAAAGUUCAGGAUGCUCGAGAUGAACAAGUUCAAUAGGACUGGUGACUCAAAGGUUCAUCUGAAGCAGUACGUGACCAUCAUGGGAACUACUCAGCUGAGCAGGACCUAGAUUGUUAAGCUAUUUGUGUUGUCAUUGGUGGAACUGCAAUCAACUGAUACUACUGUUUGGAGAAAUCCGCCAAAGCUGAGUGGUGGGGUUUAUGCAACUCCUUUGUCAAGGAGUACGACUACAACACUCAUUUAGAAGUGUCAAUCAAGGAUCUUGAAUCCACUAAGUAGAAACCAAAUGAGUCCUCUGAUUUUCUGACCAGAUUGAGGAAUAAGUCUGGCUUGAUGAAGAAUAAGCCCUCUGAAAAGGACCAGGUUCCUAUGGUGGUCCGAAAUAUUCUUCCUAGAUGGGUUGAAAGGUUGCAGAUGAUGAAAUCCAGACCUUCAUGAAUCUGUAUGAUAACAGGCUGCAAGUUGAGGAAAUAGAGAAUGACAAGAGAAAGACCAUGAGAACUGACGGAAGGGAAAACUACUAGGUUGGAGGGAGUAGAACCCUAGAUGUGAAUGUUGUGCAACAAUUGAGGAAGCUUUCUAACUUCAAGCAACCUCUUUCUAAGAUCUUUGAGAGAUUGGUUCAAAAUGGAAUGCUCCAACCUACCACCCUAAAGAACCCACCAAACUCAAAUGCACCUGGAUACAAGCCUAACACUUACUGCAAAUUCCCCCAAGCACUUAGCCACCAUACUGAUAACUGCAUCCGGUUGAAGCAUGAAAUCUAGGACCUUAUCAACGCCGGAAAGCUUACUGACCCAUACCAGCCUAGCACUAGAACAAACCCCUUACCAAGCUACAACAACACACUAACACCGAACCAAGAGUCCAUGAUCAACCUAAACUUCAGCAAAGAGGAAAUCAUGAACUCUUUCAUAUACCUACCCCAAGUCGAGCUAGCAGCCAAGCCAAAAAGCUCAUAAAGAACCUUCAACGAGCUGGGGGCACUACUAUCUAUGGUGUUCCGACACUUAAAAUGGAGCUGGAAGCUUAAGCCCCAAUCAUUAGAAGAUAGUCCUAACCUUCACAAUGGUCAGUAUUGUGAGUAUCGCUAGGCUUUCGGGCUUGUGACGGACCAAUGCAACCGUAUCAAGCACGAGAUCCAGGACUUAAUCGACUUUGGAGAAUGAGAGGUUGAACAACUUCCUCGGUGUGAGUGUGAAGACCUGCUUGGGCAGCCCUAGGCAAAUAUGAUUUCCAGGUCUGAUAUUCGAGGCCACCCUCAACUGAUAUUCAAAUCGAGGAUAUCAUGCCAAGUGGUUAGGGAUCAGAUGACAAUCAAGCCGUUUGUCAGCCUUAUCUCUUGGAGGUCAGGAAAGAGGGGAAAAGAAGUCGGUAAGGGCUAUUGACAUCUGGUAUAGUUUUGGGGAUGAGAAUGAGGUUCAAGAUGCUAAGGCCAAGGACAUUUGGGUAGACAAUGAUUCUGAGACUGAGCCAGUAGGUAAGGAUAAGGAAGCUGGAGUACAAGAACUGAAGCAAGAGAAGUAAGCACCUGAAAAUGGGGAUGCCUUGUUGUUAGAACAAUGGAGGAAGGAGAAGAAUACAACUGAUGUCGGGGAGUUGCUGAUGCAUUCAUCAUACCAUAAAGAGCUAUGAUCCAGGCUUUAUAUGGUAUAAGUGUCGGCAUAGUAACUACCCCUCAAGAGAGGAUCAAAAUGGUAACUAACAAGACCAUUAAGAUGAUCACCUUCUCGAACGAGGACCUACCACUUGAGGAAAGAGACCACAAAAGGCCUUCCACAUAGCAGCAGAGGUGAAAGGGAAGAGAACCCUAUGUGUGAUGGUUAAUGACAGGUCAGCUAUCGACGUGUGUCCAUCUCGCAAUUCCCUAAACUAGGGAUGAUUGUGAAGACCUAAAACCAUAAAAAAUGAUCAUAAGGGCCUAUGACGAGACAAAAAAGGAUGUAAAAAGGAUGUUUUCAGCACUAGUGAAGAUGGGUCCAAUUGAAUCUUGGGUGAAACUCAUUAUCCUAAACAUUCCAGUAACUUCUGCACUGUUAUUGGGAAGGCCAUGGUUCCAUGCCCUAAGAGGAGUCCCUUCUAUAGUGCAUCAAAAGAUGAAAUUCCCUCAUGAAGGCGAGAUCGUCAUUAUUCACACCGAAUGUGGUAAGGUCAUCUCAAAAAUUCAAGAAGCUAUCAAAGAGGUGGAUGCCCCUACUGGAUUCUAAGUGGUUUUUUGCUACGAGGACAACAUGGAUCCUAAAGUAGCCAGCAUAUUCAAGAACAUAGUCAAGGGUUGUGGUUGAGUUUCUAGCCUAAAACGCGAUUGAAGGGGAUGACCCUUAGGAUAUAGAAUUCCCUGAUGAGAAUCUAAGGGCAAUCUAGAUCCAAGAAUGGAAGAUGUACUUCGAUAGAGCCGUGAACGCAAGAGGUGCAGACUUAGAAGUAAUUCUGAUCACGCCAUUAAGGGGAGAUACUGCUAAUAGCUAAGAGGUUAGACUUUAGAAUGACCAAUAACAUGGCAGAGUAUGAAGCAUAUUUAUUUGGAUUAUAAGUGGGUGUGGCAGCAGGAGCUAUACAUCUAAUGGUUUAUGGGGAUUCAAUGCUGGUAAUUCAACAAGCCUUCGAGGAAUGGGAAGUAAAAGAAGAGAGGUUGAAGCUGAAUGUUAACUAUCUUAAGACUUCAGUGUGGAACUUCUUCAGGUAUUCCUUUGUACAUUUGCCUCGGGACGAGAAUCAAAUGGCAGAUGCACUAGCUACUUCGUUAUCUAUGUGGGUUAAUCUCUCGAGGCGAUCUACUAAUGGCUAUGCCAUUUACAUUGGAAAGUCUAUUGUAUCAUGGAGUGCCAAGAAACAACCUACAAUUGCUAGGUCAUCAACUGAAAGUGAGUACAAGGCUCUUGCCAACACCACUGCUGAACUUUUAUGGAUUUAAUCUCUAUUGCGAGAAAUUGGUAUGCUUUCUUCUUCACUUGCUACCUUGUGGUGUGACAAUAUUGGAGUAAUUUACUUAUCUUCUAAUCCGGUUUUUCAUGCUCGUACCAAGCAUAUUGAGCUCGACUAUCAUUUUAUAAGGGAACAAAUAGCGUUAGGCAUCAUCCAAAUUGGUUUUCUUUCUUCUAAUGAUCAACUUGGUACACUGGGUGUUUGAUUGUUUAAGCAGCAUUACUCUCAUCUUCGUCUUCAACCUCACCCAUCAUUAGCUUGUCGGCUAGUAUCAAGGAAACCCUAGCUUAACUGCCUAACAACCUUCCCUUGUAUUUCAAAUUAUAAUUUGUAUAAGAUAUAUUAUUAGAUAUUCCAGUUGUAUAUCUUAUUUUCAAUAGUUAUUAUGUAAUCUAUAGAUAUAUCUAGAGCUGAACUCUUUAAAAUAUCAAUAUAUACAAAAUCAUCUUCUUCUCUAAACUUAAUAAUAAUGAGUCUUGGUCUUGUCCGCUAUUUAUCAAUCAUCCAUCCUCGAUCACCCUAUAUGUAGAAAUUACAUAAUUAAAUUUAUAAUUUCAACUUUUUUGACAAAUUACAUUUUUUUUAGUUAAAUAUCUUAAAUCUAAAUAUUUUUAAAUUAAAAAUAUUUGUUUGAAAUUUCACUUCAAACAUAAGAAUUAAUUGGAAAAUUACUAAAAAAAUAAAUUUUAUGUAACAUUUACAUAAAAAUAUAAAUUGCUUUAAUUAUAAGACAACCCCUAAAUGCCAUUGCAGAACAUUUUUACACUAUUUUUUAAUUAAAAAUAGAAAUUUUAAUAUGCCAAUAAAUAAAAUUAUACUAAUUAUAUAAAAAAAAAUUAAGUAUCUAGAUUUAUAUUAAAAUAAUUAAGAUUAUCUAUUAUAGGGCAUAAAUCUAGUGAAACAAUGAAAACUUUAGUGAUUAUGAAGUCAGGUGCGCCUUGUUAUCAAGGGAAUCGAAUUAUGCAAGUUCAGGCGGGACUAGAAGAGAAGCUAUGGCUCUACGGUCUGAAGAAGUUUAUAAAAGACAGGGAGUAUCCAAAAGAAGCGACACCCAAGGAAAGGUAUGCAUUGCAAGUCUAAGCUAAGAAUUAUAUCAGCCACGAGGGAGUCCUAUAUAGAAGAAUAAUGUUGGGUGUAUAGUGUCGAUAUGUAACUAAAGUAGAAGCCCAAGUGGUGAUGGAGGAAAUAUACAAAGGAGUAUGGAGGCCUCAUAUGAGCGGAAUUGUGUUAACAAGGAAGAUCAUGCAGCAAGGCUAUUACUAGUUGAUGAUGGAGAAUGAUUGUAUAGCAUUAGUGAGGAAAUGCCGAGAGUGCCAGCUAUACAGUGACUUGAGUCACGUGCCUCCAACCGAGCUGCAUAACUUGACAUCACCUUGGCCUUUUGCAACUUGGGGAAUCAACAUUAUUAAAGAAAUAAAGCCUCCUUCGAAUGGCCACAGGUUCAUAGUCGUAGCCAUCGACUACUUUUUGAAAUGGAUCGAAGCCGAGCCGUUCAUCACCAUGGGGCAAGACAGAUGGUCAUAUUAAUAUAACGGAACCUAAUAUGCAAAUACAGAGUCCUAAAUCAUAUUGUGACGGAUAACAAGAUGCAAUUCAUGGGUGAGACAGUAGACCUACUAACGGAAUACAAGAUCGAGCAUCACAUGUCUUCUUUUUAUAAACCUCGAACGAAUGGAGUAGUAGAGGUAGCUAAUAAAAAUAUGAAGAAGAUACUUCCAGAGAUGGUAUGAAAUCACAAGGAUUGGUCAUUUCGAUUACCCUUCAUGCUUUGGGGAUAUCAAACAACCGAGUAAACAUCAACGGGGGAAAUGCCAUACUCCAUGGUUUAUGGAACUGAAGUGGUUCUGCCAGUUGAGUUAGAAUUUAAGUCUUUGAGAGUUGUAUUAGAGGCUGAAAUACCAAAAUAUUACUGGGUUGAGCAAAAAUACCAGCAAUUGGCCUUGAUUAAUAAGAAAAGGAUGAAAGCCCUAUACCACACGUUGUUGUAUCAGAAAAGGAUAGCUAGGGCGUUCCAUAAGGAAGUAAAGCUAGAAAAGAUCAGAGCUAAUAAUCUAGUAUCGAAGCAUACAAAACUUACUGCAUUCAACCCGAGAGGGAAGUUCAGGCCAAACUGGGAAGGCCCAUAUCUGGUUAAGAGGAUUCUGCCUUGAGGUGUCGCUAAGAUCUCAAACCUAGGGCGGAACGAGUUUACUGAGCCAAUCAAUAUAGAUCGUCUCAAGAAAUACCAUAUGUGAAAAAUAAAAAUAAAGAAUAAUAGAAAAAUAACCUGCUAAUCAGAAAAUCUAAAAUGGCUACUCAUGCAAAAUUCAAGGUAAAAGAGAGAAAAUAGUCAGCUAUAAAAUCUGAAAAGACUGGCUGAUGACAUGAGUUAUAUUGUGAGAAAUCAAAAUGUACCCAUCUAGUAUUUUAUUGAAGGAAUGAAAUUGUCUUGAAUUGUUAUCAAACAUAUGUAUGUUUAUUUAUCAUUUUAUAUAUUAAUUGGAAUAAAAAACAGAACUAAAAGUUCCAAGCAAAAUAAAUGAGAUCUAAAAAAAGCAUAAUUUUUUCGCAUAAAUUGCAUCGGCAUCCUUAAAUAGAGUAACUAGUUCUCAAAUCGAGCAAGUUAAGAGAAAUCAAUACUUAAAGCAGCCAAUUCUGCAAAAAGAAGUAAACAAAAGAAGAAAAUAAAAAAGAAAAAGAAUAAAAAGCUAAGUUGAAAACUCGAAAGGGCGGCUUAGGCAAAAAUAAAGUCUACUAAGUUAAGAAUCCGAAAGGUAACUUAGGCAAAAGUUAAGACAAAAGCCUGCUAAAUUGAAAAUCGAAAAGGGCAGCUUAGGCAAAAGUUAUGGCGAAAGCAAAAUAAUAGAAAAGAGAUUUGGCUGCAUGGUCUCCUGAUGCUAUUUGUAGUGCACAAGUUCUCACAAAGACAGAAAUACAAAAGAUAAGAAAUAUGGGAAAUCCAAAAGGGUAAUAUGUUUUAUACUUUCAAAGAUAAAAAUUCUACACAAAGGUUUUGAGUUUUACAUUCAAUCAGAAAAAGAAGUCAGAAAUCGGAGUUCCCUUUCGAACUAUCCAUCUCAUCGUCCGAUUCAGCAUCCAUCCUUUGGGUCUAUAAGACUGACAUUUUUAGAAUCAGGGUAUUAAUCUGUCGUUGUUGAACAUCGAGUUGAUGCUAUUGGUUGUCUAGCUGAUCCUGCAGUCCCUCAUGGUCCCUCUGAUGAAAACCUAAAAGGAGAAUUAGUUAGCACAUUUCACGCAUUUCAUGCAUACAUUUUUCAUUUCAUAAUUUAUAAUUUAUUUUGGUUCUUACCGCCAAUCCUCGCCAAGGACGAAGAACUAUCUCCUUGCGGGUCCAACCAGUCGAUGUACAUGCUCAAACUAUUCUCUGUGAACUUGUAUUUGUAUAUAUGUAACUAACAUCUUUAUGAAAGCCAAUAGAUGAAAGCAUAGAAGGAAAGAAAAAGCUUACGUGGGUGCAAGUGCUCGGUAUGAACUUUAGAGGGAAAUAUUGAUCUAUAGCAAGUCGGUGCUCUAUCACAUCGAGUGAGCUCCAAUAUGAGACCAUCAUAUUAGGAGGGAAAUAGACAGUCCAUGGGACCACAUAUGACAUAGCCAUAGGUGGUGCCUCAAAAGUCACACCAGCGGAAGAGCCUACAACAUGGGAAGGCCGAGUGAGUCAAGAAGACCGUCCUUCAGUCGGUUCGCGAGUAGUAGGGGCUUGGCGGACAAGCUGUAAAUAGGUGAAUAAAAGAACAGUACGGUAAAAAGAGAGAAUUCUAAGAUAAUCUGAGAAAAUACUUAGACAAUGGCGUCAUCAAUAAGAGUUAAAGUUCCCAUCAACUAUGGGAUGAAAGAGGUGUAAUUGGUCAGCUGCGAUCGGAUAAUGAGGUCUUCAAGCUCGUCAUACCCAUUCAAGCCUUCUGCCAGUUCCUCUCUAGCAAGAUCCACCGUCCAAAACAUGGAGGGUGUAGGAGAUAAAGAAACUCGGCGUCUACUAGGUCCACACUGCCAACCAUAAAUCCUCUUGCUGAGGUACCAAGCCCGACAUGCAUGCCUCCCAACAACACUCUCCUCUGCUCGAGGUCGGCUGCCGACAAAAUAAAAGGCUCCCACUACUCGUGCUCCCUCAGCCAAUCACUCUGAAUCUGUAAACUAGAAAAGGUAAGCAAUGAUGUUAAUAGAACAUAAAUAUAACUAAUGAAUUGUGUUUACCAUGUCCCAAGUCAGACUGUUGAUCCACAUUUGUGCACGUGAACCUGUGACCACUCUAGUAUGACCGUCAUGCUCGAGCCUCAAUGGCUCAAACGAGGGAAGGCUCAUGAUGUGCAACUAGGCUGUGAGCCCACUAAAAGGCCGGUCUCCAAGGCCCAAACAUGCGAGAAAGAGGAGUUAACACACAUAAUAUCUAUAUAAAAAGGAAUUAAAGGAAAAGAAGACAGAGCAACUCAUGUGGAUCGCAUGCUAGAAAUCACAAAUCCUCUUACCACCACGGAUGAUGAAGUUUAUUUGAUGAUAGAGUUAUAUGAGAGCCGCAGACCUCUAGUCAUAAGACGAGACCUGGUCUAGGUCCCACAGAGGUGCUAGAUAAUGAAUGUUCGACGAGUUUCUAGAGUCGUUGAACAAAGUCAUACUACAAAGGUAUACCAGAAAAGCCCAAACCAUCUAGUCAAAUUCCUGAGCAUUCUGAGGAAUAAAGCCCCAAUAGUGGAGAAGGAUGCACUAGUAAGCAAUGCAUCUCACAUUCUUGAGUGUCGAUGAGAAUCUGAGUAAGUCGAUGAUAAAGCGCUUUCUAGCCUCAAAAUGCCGAUAGUGGACCAUAUCGUCAAAAGGCACAGGCGUCCCGGAGAAGUCAAUGCCACUAAUAGCAAAAAAUGCAAGGGAAGAGAGAGUCAGCUCACCAAUAGGAAUAUGGAAGGUGUGUGUUAUCUCCAUCCACCUCUCAAGCAAAUCAUAGACCAAGGUAAUGAUCGACUCUCCUAAUGACCGGAGGAAGUGUAUCCAUGAACCAACAGAAGCUAGUGUCCCCAAUCUUGGCCUGAACUGAGCUAGGCAGCUCAUCGCACUAUUUACAUGCACCAUAAAAGUUUUCGGCGAACCAAAUCGGCACUACGUCACCCUAGAAGGUGAAAAAUAGGUGUUUAAGUAUCAUAGACAUACAAAAGACUCUAAGGAGGUAAGUAUGUGCCUAUCUAGUGUUAUUUUCAUGAAAAGCUCUAAAAGACCUUUGGCCGACCUGUGUACAGUCGUUUGUGCUGUGUAGAGCCGAAUCGGCACUACAUAGUACCAAUCAACACUAUAUACUGUCGAUUAGCUGUACGCACAGCCAUAUCGACUAUACAGAUUAGGGUUCCCAAAUUUGUUUAAUUUUUUUUCACAAAGUUCACAUAUAUCUUGAGUAAUUUACAUGCAUACUAAGUUUCUAAGAUGUAGAAAAUGAAGUUUAAGUCAAGAAAUUACCUCUCCAAUGGCUCGAAAAGAGUGAUGUGUGCUCAAUUUUGCUAGAAGAGGAAUUUCCUCUCCUUUCACAAGCCUAAGGUCAUUUUGCCAAAAAAUCGGGGAAACUGGAUACGUGUAGUAAAUCUAGAAGAUGAACUUGCCAUUUAGAGACUGAUUUUGUAGAAAUCAGCUGAGAAUUGAGUAAGAAAUCAAAGAAACAGCAAAAAGAGCUUUAGAGAGAAAACUAAUGAAAUGGGUAAGAAGAAGGAAGAAUGGAUAAGCCUAUAUAUAUAUGUCCUAAGAAGAAGGCAAAAAUAUCAUUUAGGUCCUUGACCUGUCAAAAUUGAAUUUUAUUCCAAAAGCUGGUACAAGUCUACAAAAGACACAUAGAAGCCUGAUUAGCACUUUGAGGGAAAUUUUUUGAAAAAAUUACAAGUUUGGUCCCUGAUCCGGAAAAAUUACAUUUUAGUCCCUAAACAGACAAAAUGUCAGUAGCUUUCAGAAAGCAUCAAAACAAGUCAAAUUGUGUCCCGAGGUGGGAAAUUUCAACCCAAAUACCUGAAAGAGAAAAAUUAUCAAAUCGAAGUGGCGAAAUUGUUUCCUAAAAUGGAGAGUAGGCAGAGGGAGGUCUCUGCAAUCACCAAUUCACUUGGCAUAGCCCCCAAUUCCAUGGGCGUGGUUCCCAAUUCAAAUGGACGUGGCUCCCGAAAAGUAGGUGCAGUCCUCAAUCCAAGCAGGCAAAAUCCUUAAUCUAAGCAAACGAAGUCCUCAAAUUUAAGCAGGUAAAGUCUUCAACCCAAACGGGGGUAACCCCACAUUGAAUCAUUAAUUAAGUUCGAGCUUAUGAAGCGUGGCUUCUACAACUCACAUAUCCUUUUGCUAUAUCCUUGAUGUCUAUGAUUUGUUUCAAUUUAUUUAACGCAUUUGCAUACUUAUAAAUUUCGACAAAUCAGGGACAGUUGUCAGCACUCCUUUUUUGAAUACAGAUAUCGAGCGAAAAAUGAAAAACUCCAUGAUGAUAGUUACUUCUUUCUCGGGUCCCUUAAGGUGAAGCACAAACAAAUAUGAGGCUAGGGUCGAGGUUAAUCCAGUUGGAAUUAUCUUUUUGAAAUCAAUUUGGACCUAAUUGUUAGAAAAAUUAAGGUUAAGGGUUAAAAUAGUAAUCUUCACAAAAUCACGGAGUAAAUUGCAAAUUUUAAAACUUCCUCUAUAGAGAAAAUCAGCUCUUCAUAGAACCGAUUGAAUCUUGACACACCGACAUCGUUUUUUCGAACUAUUUUAGGUCUAGAUACAGAUUCUAGAAGGUUUCCUUGACGAUAAUUAUUGUUCUAUCAAUAAUUAUUUAAAUUUUAAAUAAAUAAAUUGGAUAUUUAUCGAUAUUUCCUAAAAUUUAUCCCUUUCUCUAGGAUUUCUUUUGAAAUUCUACCUCUAUAAAUAGUAAAAGGUGUUUAGAGUUUCAAAAAAAGGAAGAAUUAAAAAUUCGCCUGCGAGCUAAAUCAAGAGAGAAGAAAUACUGAGAAAGAAAGAAUAGAGAGGAAAUCAAAAACAAAAAGAAAGAAAAGCACUAUUAAUCAUAGCCAUCAUUAAAGAGAAGAAGCUAGUUAAGAAAGAGUCAUUUUAGGGAACAAGCCACUUAAGAAAGAGCAUUUUUGGAAACUUCUUUUCAAUUGAUAGAAGAUUUCACAAAGUCAGAUCUAGCUCUAGAUUCCUACCUAGUUUUGAUUCAACUACAUCCUUAUCGUCCGAGACUCACAGAUGUAACAUCCACUAUGACAACUUGAGGGUUCUUUUGACCAUAUAUUUGCAUUCAUUAUAAAUCAAUUCUUUCAUUCCUUUCUUUUAUUUUUUUAUAUUAUUUAUUUUUAAAAACAUGAUUAUAGUUUUGAUCUAUGAUAAAUAUAAUUAGAUUAGUUUCUUUCAUUAAUAUGCAUGAUAAUAGGUUUUGAAUUUGAUAAUAAGAACUUAGGAUUUUUUUUUUAGAUUUAAUAUUUGUCUAUUAGGGUUUUACAUUGGAUUGAAAAUAUAUUAUAGGGUUAAUAUUUAGAUCUCUUUGUCAAUUUAAUUAAGUAAUUAAGCCUGAUAAAACAUGGUUCUUUUUGUUUUAAUUAUCUUCUGUUAGUUUAUAAGAUUUAGGGUUUUGUUUAGCUUUUGUAACUUCGAUUUUGUUAUUUUUAAUAUAUUUUAUCUUAUUCUAAUUAAUUUUUAAUAUUUGUGCAUGUGAAAAUCGGCUCUAGGGUUCGAGAUUAUGCUGGCGAACAAAGAAAAACCGACAAAAACUUGCUUAAGGACCCUAGAGCCAAUCGGCUCAAUAUAGAGCCCAUUGGCUCUACGUUGAGCUGACUGGCUGUUCAUGUGUAUCCGAUCGGUUAUUCAAGCCAGACUCUAGAUUUUGUGUAUGUUGAACAUAUUUUGAUGUAUUCUCGAUCUCUAUAUAGUUUUAAGUCUUUCCAUUUUCAUAAUCAUAAUUGUAGACGGGUUAUAAUAAUUAGAAUUUUUUUUCUGCUUUAUUUUCUUUAUUUUUGUUUAUUGUAUAUUAAACCAAUACUGAUUAAUUAAAAUGGACUACAUAGACUUAGGGCUAAAAACUGAUACGGCAUAAGUUUGGUAGUCUGAUAAGCUAAUCAACCUUAAUUGGGCCUGAAAUCCAAAAAUCUAAAUAGACUAGCGGGUGUUGGUAUGUUUAGUUAGGGUUAUGAACUUAGUCAAGGUUGAGAUCACAAUGAAUGGGCCUUCUCAUAACAAGUAGUCCAUUAGGCUUAAAGGCUGGAAUCUAAAUAGCAUAAUAUGUAAUUGAGCUAGAAUAUGUGGACCUUAUACAUAAUUGGUUAGUGAGCUAGAUUAACAACUUAAAUAUCGGCUAGGCUUAAUAGAAUGGACCAAACUUAGGUAUCUUCUUUGUUGUUUUGACAUACAUGUCUAUCAAUUGCUUGCAUUUAUAGGGAAUACUUUAUUAAACAAUAAAUUUAAAGACUAAUAUGCACAAAAAAAGAAGUUGGCUUCUGGAUCCAUCUUUAGAGUCUGUGGUAUAAGCUUCUAUAUGGAAUCUGAGAAAUGCCACUCAUUAGUAAAAGUGUCCCACUGAUUACUCGAGUAGUGAUUCCCAUCUUCGUGCUAAUCUUAGUGAUUAGUUAGCACGUUUCUGAUUAAGUUGAAAAGCCUUACAGUAUCGUAGUCACUAAAGACACUUGGAUGCGCACUUGAAAUCGUCGCCCACAAUAAAAUUUUUGUUUUGAUAUGUAUACUUACUUCUGACACGUAGAAUUAAAGCUUAUGUGUAAUUUUAUAGUUGUUUCUAUUAAUUUAUAGAUUCAUAUAUUAUAUUUCUAAUUAAAUACUGACUUUAAUCUUAAGAAAUAAUAUAUUAAUUAUAUUUUAAUAUUAUAUUAAUUAAUAAAUAAUUUUCUAAUCAAAUAAUGAUAUCAAUUCUAUUCUUAGUUUAUUCCAUUAGUUUAUAGAUUCAUAAAUUACAUUUGUAAUUAAUCGCUGACUAUAAUUCUAAAAAUAGUAUAUUAAUUAUAUUUUAAUAUUAUAUUAAUUAAUAAAUAAUUUUCUAAUAAGAUAAUGAUACUAAUUCUGCUCUUAGAAAUAACAUAUUAAUUAUAUUUUAAUAUUAUAUUAAUUAAUAAAUAGUUUUCUAAUCAGAUAAUAAUACUAAUUCUGCUCUAAGAAAUAACAUAUUAAUUAUAUUUUAAUAUUAUAUUAACUAAUUAAUUAAUUUUCUAAUUAGAUAAUGAUUCUAAUUCUAAAAAAUAAUAUCUUAAGUUAUAUUUUUAAUAUUAUAUUUGACAAUAAAUUUUUAAUCUUAAAAAAUAGUAAUAUCAAUUAUAUUAAUAUAUAAUAAAAUUUCAGAAUUUAAAAAAAUUAAAAAUAUUUAAAAAUAAUUAGUUUGCUAUUAUUUUUUAAAAUUUUAUAAAUUAAUAUUAAAUAUUAAAUCUUUUAUUAAAUUAUAUCUAUCAAUUUAAUUUUGUAAUUAAAAUAAUAAUAACACCGGUACAACGCACAUGUAAACGACUAGUUUAUUCUCAAUAUAUUAUUUUUUAGGAUUACAAUGAAUAUUUAAUUAGGAGUGUAACUUAUUAAUCAAUAAAUUAAUAAAAAAACUAUAAAAUUAAACAUAAGGUUGAAUUCAAUGUAUCAAGAAUAGGUAUACAUGUCAAGAUAAUAAUUAUAUAUGUCAAAAAUUAAGUACACAUAUAAAAAAAAUUUCAGGUUUCAGAAAUAUAUAUAUAUAUAUAUAGUUAAUUAAGUCAUUUAUUAAUUUAUAUUAUUAAUAAUAAAAAUGUUAAUAGUUUAUUAAGUGUAAAUAUAACUCUAAAAGUAAAAUUCUAUUAAGAUUUAAGUAUUAGUUGUAAAAUAGUAUUUUUAAAUGAUAUUAAGAAAAUGAUUAAAUUAUAUUACUACUAGUAUUAUUUAUUAUAAUUAUCCAUAUUCUUCAAAAUAAUUAAUUUUUAAUAAAUUUACUAUAGAUAAAGAAUUUUAGAUGACUAAUGUAUUUAAUAUAAGUGUAACUCUAAAAAUCUAAUUUAAUUAGAAUUUAAUUAAUAAAUAAUUUUUAUAACUUUUUAUUCUUGAUUUGUAUUUAUAAUUAAAAUUUUAAAGGGACGAAUGGCCUAUCCCAUAAAAACUUUUGUUCAAUAUUAAGAGUAGAACAAUUUAAAUUGAUAUUUAAUUAUUUUUUCUUUAAAAGAGUCCAUAGAGCUACAAUACACUGAAAAUAAAUUUCAGGAAGAUGAUAUUUUAGAAUAAAAGAAAGAAAAGAUGAUAUUUUAUUAAUACAAUAAUAUAAAAAUUAUUUAAAAUAAUAUGUAAAUAUAAUUGAUAUUACUAUAUUUUAAGAUAAAAAAUUUAGUAUAUAAUUAAAAAUUUAAUUUAUUAUUAAAUAUUNNNNNNNNNNNNNNNNNNNNNNNNNNNNNNNNNNNNNNNNNNNNNNNNNNNNNNNNNNNNNNNNNNNNNNNNNNNNNNNNNNNNNNNNNNNNNNNNNNNNNNNNNNNNNNNNNNNNNNNNNNNNNNNNNNNNNNNNNNNNNNNNNNNNNNNNNNNNNNNNNNNNNNNNNNNNNNNNNNNNNNNNNNNNNNNNNNNNNNNNNNNNNNNNNNNNNNAGAAAAGACUAUAAAAAUGGAUAUAAACUUAAAUUCUAUGUGUCAAAAAUCAGUAUACAUGUCAAAAUAAAAAUCUUAUUACAUGUCAAAAAAAUUUAGGUCUUAUAAAUUAAUAUAUAUAUAUAUAUAUAUAUAUAUAUAUAUAUACACAUAUAUAUAUAUAUAUUAGAUUUUUUUAUUUGUUUUAAUUAAUUAAAAUUAGUAUUUUUAUUAUUAAUUUUUUCUAACAUGUUAUCAUAUUAUUACUACAUAUCUUAAGCAUAUCCCACCAUUGAUAGAUAAAUUAAAUACUAUUGAUAAUUUGGAUUUAAUUUUUUUAAUUUUAAAACAUAAAGAGUUUAAUUGUGCCAAAAUAAAGCAUGAAGGUUUAAUUGUACUUUUUCAAAUUAUUUAGAAGCUUUUUUUAAUAUUUAUUUUUAAUUUAAUAAUAAAUAAUUCAUUUAGUACGAGUGUAAUUCUAAGUCAAAUUGUAUUAAGAUUUUCAAUUAUUAAAUAUAAUUAAGUAUAAUUCUAGAAAAUUCAACUUUAUAAACACUUGCAAUAAGUAGAGUUUUUAUAAAAAAAAUAUAAAUCUUAUUUAUAUUUUUAUAAGUAGUUUAUAUUUAAGAUUAAAAUUUCAAUAUAUUUCUAAUAAAAUACUUUACUUUUAUUAUCUUUACAAUAGAAAAAUAAAAACGUAGUUCAUACAUUUUACUUUAUUAAAAUAAAAUAAAAUAAUUAAUAUAGAAUUAUUUAAAUAAAAUAAAUAUAUUUUAUAAUAUAUGUGAAUAUUGAUAAUAAUAACUAAAUCUAUUUAUCAAUAAUAUAAAUAUAAACAGUUUAAACUUUAUAAGUCAUAAAUAGAUUUAUUUUAGAUGAAUUUACUAUAAUAUUAAGAAAGAAUUGAUUAUCAUUAACAUUAAAAAUAUUUAUGAUGUAAAAUUUGAAAAUUUAGGAUAAAGUGCAAAAGCUUACCUUGUGGUUUGACGCUUUUUCAUUUGAAGAACAUAUAUGUUUUUUGUAUGAAAGAGGUACUGCGUGUUUUAUUUUUUUAGUAUUUUUUAGGUAUACAUUUAUAUGUUUAUUAUUUUUUACAUAGUUUUACAUGUAUUUAAUAUGAAAUAUUAUUAAAUUAUGAUGUUGUAGAAUAAUCUAGAAUAUUAUAGAAUAUGGAGUAAUUUGUAAUACCCGAAAUUUUUAUAUAUUUAAUAAUGAGUUUUUAUUUAAGUUAAUUUUAGCUUUAUUUUUAUUCGGUUUAAUUGGAAUGAUUUAAAUACAAAUUUUGAAUUUUAAUGUUAGACAAAUAAAUGAAUUAUUUUUCUAUACCCAAUUAGUUGAAAUUUUAAGAAUUAAUUAAGUAAAUUAUUUGAAGAGUAGAAUAUAUUUUUGGUUAUUCAAAUUUUCCCCAAAUGCAUAUUUAUAUAAGUAAAAUUAUAUAUUGGAAAAAUUAUGGUAGAAAUUGUAAAUGAUGUUUAUAAAAGAAUGUUGGGGAAAAUUGGUAUUAUAAUUGAUUAGUAGUAUUAAAUUUUAAGUUGGAAAUUUAUUAUUUAAAUUAAUUUUGUGUUAGGACAAAAUCGAAAAUUUAUUUUUGGAUAAGGAUUAAAAGUAUAAUUUCAUUAAUAUGGGGUUUUAAUGGAAAUUUCUGAGUUUGGUAUUUUUGUAAAUAAAUAUGUCGGUCAGGGGUAUUUUUAUAAUUGCGUAUUUUCUAUAAUUCUAAUUUGGCCCAAAUUAAUUAUUUAGGGGCUUAAUUGAAAUGCUAAAGGAAAGUUUAUAGGUUAAAUUGGAGUUCUGCUGGAUGAAAUUGUAAAUAAUUAAGAAAGUUGAGGGACCAAACUGUAAUAAGAAAAAGUUGAGGGGCAAAAUGUCGAUACUGAAAGGAAAAGAAUCGGGGAAGAAGAGAGGAAGAGAGAGAGAGAGAGAGAGAGAGAGAGAGCGCUGCGGCGGCGGCAGCGGCACCAGCAGCGUCGGCAGGCGGCGGAAUCGCGCGACGUGUGGCAGCGGCUUUCGAGCGUCGUUCUGGCCGUUUCCGGUGGCGUUUCCGGCCGAUCUUGGUAGUGAUCGACUCCCCUCGAAGAGAGCUUUCUUUUGGCAGCAGCGGCAACGCCUGUGGUGGCCGGAGAUGGAAGAUCCGGUGGAGAGAGAAAGUAGGGGGCAGCCGCAUUUUUUGGCAUUUUCGGCGAGCUCCGACAGAGGAUGGGCGAUCGGAGGACGUAUCCUGACUCUUCUCAGCUCAAGCUUCGCAAUGGCACCGGUUUCGUGGCGAUCGGGCUCCGUUUGCGAACUGGCGGCCGUGAUCGUCCGAAAAUCUCUCUGGAUGAUCGGGUUUCGGAUCAGAAAAUUGAAAGCAGGGAUUGUCAUCAGCGCGUCGUUGUGAGUCUGAUGAUGUGUUCGGAUUGUCGAUCGGACUCCGGCGGCUGGAGGCGAGUCGACCGAGCGAUCGAGCGUCUCGGUAAUUUUUCUCUGGCCUGUAAUUUUGGAAAUUCUUGGUUUAAUUGUGUGUCUAAUAGUUUAUAUUGAUUAUUUGAUGAUAUUGUGAGUCAAAAAAUAAUUGUCUGUCGGUUUGCCUGCCUUAUGUUUUGUGCUGUGUGGCGGAGUCGGGAAAAUAGUGAAGUCUGGGGACCCGACUCCUGUUGUUUGAAUUGUUGGAUAUUUGUAGUAUUUUUCUGGCAGGUCCUGGACCCGUUUUUACGGGGGGGUAAUGUUCGUAUUGUAGGGGAGGUUCUGCCGGAUUUUCGGUAGAAUUCUCCUGAGUCGAGAUUCUUAGACAGUCAGUCCUAGGAGUAUAAACCUAGGAUUAAUGAUCGAUUGUUUCAGCGUUUUGAUAAAUUAUUUUCCGUGACUAGAUUGUCCGUUUGUUCGGCUCGCUCCAACCGCGGCACCGGAGCAGAGCUAGGAGGUCGCCCAAAUUCUGUGAGAGUCACUUAAUUGUUGCACUAUUGCUAAGUCUGAAUUUAAUAUGCUAUUUUGAAAGUUUAUGCUUAAUAUGGUUAUUAGUAUCACAACGUAAAUAAUUUCACUGAAUUAUUAAUUAUUGAAGGUAAUAUAAGUAUUAUUAUAGUAAUGUUAUGAUAAUACCAAAUAUUAUCAGAUUUCCACAUGAGUUGCAUGAUGUCUUACUCUAAAUUGUUAAUCGUUAUUUUGAUAUGGUUGAAUGACUUCUUUAGACAAUAAUAUUUAUUAAAUGUGGUGAUUGCGAUUUGGGAAAUGUGGCUUGUAGAACAUGCCGCCUGAUGGGUUACAUCAGGACCGUGUGCGCACCGGUAAUGAUCAUGGACGGGUAAUAAGAUUAUUAUGAGUUUUGCCCUGGUCGAGCAUGGGUCUCUGGGCUGAUUUGAGUGAGAUGCCGGAGUAAAGGUCCCUGGUCGAGUAUUGCUCUCUAGGCGCCGGCUUAUUUGGAUACUUAAGUGAUCAGACUGGAGGUAAGGUCCCUAGUCGAGCAUUGCUCUCUGGGCGCCAGUCUUAUUGGAUUAAGAGAGCCAAAAUGGCUACUAGAAUUUGGGGUUAGGGUUCUACUGAGCCACUCGUCCCGCAAAAGUAGAAAUAUAUUUUUAUUUAUUUAUUUAUUUUGGUAUUUGAUUAUAAUGUGAUUUGUAUUUACGUGCAUGGUUUGAUAUACUGAUUUGUAUAAUCUAUAUUUUCUGAGAAGAAUGCAAUAGUUCCCAGAUUAUUUGAUUUUAACUCACUCUCGAGACUGACAGUCUCAAUUUACUUUUUUCUUCAGAUGCGUGACUGUUAGUCUUCCCGCGACUCUUAUUCAGUAACCCGACUCCUUCAUCAUCGGGUGAUGUAUUUGAUUUGGUAUGUAAAUUGGUAAAUCUUAAAUUCUCCGCAGUAGUAAUAGUAGAUGUAUCAGUUGUAAAUUUUCUGAGCUUCGGGUCUUGCCAAAUUCUUCUGGCAGACCGAAUUAGUUAUGUAAAAUUUAAUUGUUGAGAUAUUUGUGGCAUUGUUACUAGUAAAAUUUGAGAUGAGAUUUGUUUAAGUCAGUGAGUGUUAGUCUUACUACGGGUUUCGGUGGCCUUACGCCUACCCAUUCCCUAGUGCCGGUCACGGGCCCUCGGGUGGGAUCUUGACAUAAUUAAUAGAAGAUAGAGUAUAAUUAAUUAGAGAUAAUUCUAGAGAUUAGAAUAUUCUAGAAUAAUAGAGUAUAAUUAAUUAGAGAUAAUUCUAGAGAUUAGAAUAUUCUAGAAUAAAAAACUUCUCCAAUUGUAUAUAUAUAUAUAUAUAUAUAUAUAUAUAUAUAUAUAUAUAUAUAUAUAUAUAUAUAUACUUCCAUGAUCAAUAGACAACACAACAAUUUCAAAUUUAUUUUCUACUUUUACAUGGUAUCAGAGCCUAAUCUGAUUAUCUGAUCCUCCUUUGCUUCAGAUUGCCCAAGUGAGCAAUCAUUUGUUAAAAAUAAUUUUCUGCCUUAGUGAGCAGCACUGUGAGACUCUUGUGUUGUUUCUUUCUUUGUUAUUUGGACACUGCUAUUAUCCAUUUUGUUCUCUACUGUCUACUGUUGUAAUCAUGAGUGGUACCAAAUCAGAUUCUGUCACUGCUGAUAUCAUUCCGGCAAUGACGAAAAUUACAGAUCAAAAAUUAAAUUGGUCCAAUUUUCAUGGAUGGAGCAAGUCUGUACGUGUGUAUUUACGAAGCAUCAACAAGGCUUAUCACCUAACAGAUAAUCCUCCGGAUGACAAUACCAAGGAAGCUUGGUUAACAGAUGAUGCUCGCAUAUUCUUACAGCUGAGGAACUCAAUUGAUGGUGAAAUACUUUCUUUCAUUGAUCACUAUGAGUAUGUUAAGGAAUUAAUGGAUUAUAUGGAUUUUAUGUAUUCAGGUAAAGGCAAUAUAUCUCGUAUUUAUGAUGUGUGCCGGAGCUUUCAUCGUACUGAACAGCAAGAUCAAUCUCUCACUGCUUAUUUUAUGAACUUUAAGCAUACUUAUGAGGAGCUUAAUGUUUUAUUGCCCUUUAGUCCUGACUGACAGUCCAACAGGCUCAACGAGAAAAAAUAGCUGUAAUGAGUUUUCUUGCUGGUCUUCGUCCUGAAUUUGAGUUGGUAAAAUCUCAAAUUCUUUCCAGUCCCCAAAUUCCAACGCUGCAGGAGACUUUUAGUAGGGUUAUCCGCAAUGAAUCAACCCCAUUAGUUGCUCCAUCUCAACCGACUAAUGCCCUAAUCUGUCGAAAUACUGAUUCUGGGCGAUUCAGCAGGAACAUUAAUAAAGGGGGAAGUUCAAGUAAUCGGGUUCCAGAACAAGGGAGAGUUGUCUGCUACUAUUGUCAUGAGCCCGGACACACAAAACGAACUUGCAAGAAAUUGCAAAAUAGGUUUCAAAGGAAUCCGACUGCGUAUAUUGCAUCUACUCCUUCUCCUCAACCAACUGAUAAGACAAUCAUGGUUUCUACAGAUGAAUAUGCUAAAUUCUCUUAAUAUCAAGAGACAUUAAGGUCUUCCUUGCAGCCUAUCACUACUAUUGCCAACUCAGGUAAUCCAAGUCAAUGUCUUCUUUCCUCUUCAUCAAAAUGGGUCAUUGAUUCUGGUGCUACAGAUCAUAUGACAGGUAACCCCAAUCUAUUUUCCUCUUUUCAACAACAUUCCUCUUCUAGCACUGUUAGUUUAGCAGAUGGAUCGCCCGUGUUAUUGGCUCAGGCACUAUUAAUGCAACUUCAUCCCUUUCUUUAUCAUCUGUCUUAUAUCUUCCACAAUUUUCCUUCAACUUAAUCUCUGUUAGCAAACUUACUCGAGCAUUAAAUUGUUGUAUCUCAUUUUUUCCUGACUACUGUCUUUUUCAGGAUCUUAUGACGAAUAAGACUAUUAGUAGAGGACAUGAGUCAGGAGGACUAUACAUAUUUGAUACUCAGGUGCCUAAACCCAUUGCAUGUUCUAGUGCCCUCAGUCCGUUCGAUAUUCACUGUCGAUUGGGUCAUCUAUCACUUUCGCUACUUAAACAGUUAUAUCCUCAGUUUUCUAGUAUAUCUAUUUUAAAUUGUGAGUCUUGUCAGUUUGCCAAACAUUAUCGUGUGUUUUCAGGUCCAAGAGUCAAUAAACGGGCUAGUAGUCCUUUUGAGUUAGUUCAUUCUGACAUUUGGGGUCCUUGUUCUGUAGUGUCUAAAACUGGAUUUCGUUAUUUUGUCACUUUUGUAGAUGAUUAUUCUCGUGUUACUUGGCUUUAUUUAAUAAAAAAUCGUUCUGAGUUAUUUUCACAUUUUUCUAAUUUUUGUGCUGAAAUUAAAACACAAUUUAAUCUUUCUGUGCUUAACUUAAGAAGUGACAAUGCAAAAGAAUACUUAUCCCACUCUUUUCAAACUUACAUGACUCAAAAUGGUAUUCUUCAUCAAACUUCUUGUAUUGAUACACCUUCUCAGAAUGGUGUAGCUGAAAGAAAAAAUAGGCAUCUCCUUGAAACAGCUAGAGCUCUUCUAUUUCAGAUGCAAGUUCCUAAAUCAUUCAGGGCUGAUGCGGUUUCAACCGCUUGUUUCUUAAUCAAUCGUAUGCCAUCUUCUAUCCUUUAUGGUAAGCCUCCUUAUAAUAUUUUGUUUCCUAAUAAACCUUUAUUUCCUAUCAAACCACAAAUCUUUAGGUGUACAUGUUUUGUCAGAGAUGUCCGUCCUCAUGUUACAAAAUUAGAUCCUAAGUCUCUUAAGUGUGCCUUUCUUGGUUAUUCUCGUCUUCAGAAGGGAUAUCGUUGUUAUUAUCCUGAUCUUAAUUGAUACUUGGUAUCUACUGAUUUUACUUUUUUCGAAAGCACUCGGUUUUUCUCUGUAUCUCCUUCUUUAGAACAAGCUGAGGAUGAUGAUUGGUCGAUUUAUACGACUACCAGCAUAGUAGCUGCAGACUCCAAUCCACCACAAAUUCAGCAACCACCUAUUCACCAUAUCUAUUCCAGAAGGCCGGUUUCCAGCGAUUCAUGUCCUGUACCUAUGGCUUCUUCAUCAUCAGAUCCUUCUCCCGACUUGGACCUUCCUAUUGCCAUUUGGAAAGGUAAGCGUCAGUGCACUUACCCCAUUUCUUCCUUUGUAUCUUAUGAUCAUUUGUCACCUUCUUCCUAUUCUUUUAUUGCCUCUAUCGAUUCUAUCACUAUUCCCAAAACAGUGCAUGAAGCUUUAUCUCACUCUAGUUGGCGCCACGCCAUGAUAGAAGAGAUGAAUGCAUUAGAUGCAAAUGGUACUUGGCAAUUGGUUGAUUUACCUGCAGACAAAAAGGCGAUCAGAUGUAAAUGGGUAUUUACCAUCAAAGUUAAUCUAGAUGGGUCAGUGGCUCGCCUCAAAGCCCGCUUAGUAGCAAAAGGCUAUGCUCAGAUUUAUGGAGUGGAUUAUUCUGAUACUUUCUCUCCUGUUGCUAAAAUGGCAUCUGUUCGAAUUUUCAUCUCUCUGGCCGCUACACAUGACUGGCCAUUACAUCAACUGGACAUCAAAAAUGCCUUUCUUCAUGGUGAUCUUAAGGAAGAAGUUUACAUGGAGCAACCACCUGGAUUUGUUGCUCAGGGGGAGUCUGGGAAAGUAUGUCAUCUUCACAAAUCAUUAUAUGGGUUGAAACAAAGCCCGCGAGCUUGGUUUGGAAAAUUCAGUGAAGCUGUUGAGACAUUUGGGAUGAGAAAAUGCAAAUUUGAUCACUUAGUUUUCUAUAAACACUCAGAAUCUGGCAUCAUUCUGUUAGUGGUAUAUGUGGAUGAUAUUGUAAUCACUGGGAGUGAUUCUACAGGCAUUUCAUCACUUAAGUCCUUCCUUCAUUCCUAAUUUCACACGAAGGAUAUAGGAAAUCUGAAAUAUUUUUUAGGUGUUGAGGUAAUGAGAAGCAAGAAAGGUAUUUUUCUGUCCCAGCAAAAAUAUGUCCUUGAUUUACUGCAAGAAACGGAAAAACUGGGAGCAAAAUCGUGCAAUGCACCAAUGCAUCCUAAUAUGAAAUUCACAGAAGAUGGUGAAUUAUUUGAGUAUCCUGAGAGAUAUAGACGGCUAGUUGGGAAGUUGAAUUACCUUACAAUAACUCGACUUGAUAUUGCCUAUUCAGUUAGUGUUGUUAGUCAAUUUAUGGCAGCUCCAACAGUUUAUCAUUGGGCAGCCUUAGAACAAAUAUUGUGUUAUCUAAAAGGAGCUCCAGGACGAGGAAUUCUCUAUCAAAAUCAUGGGCACACUCAAAUCGAAUGCUUCUCGGAUGCAGAUUGGGCAGGUUCUAAAAUGGACAGAAGAUCCACUACAGGCUAUUGUAUUUUUCUUGGAAGGAAUCUAGUCUUAUGGAAAAGCAAGAAGCAAAAUAUUGUAUCCUGAUCAAGCGCGGAGUCAAAAUACAGAGCUAUGGCAAAAGCAACAUGUGAAAUUAUAUGGAUAUACCAACUUCUGAUGGAAAUUGGUAUAAAAACGUCUUUGCCGGCAAGACUUUGGUGUGAUAAUAAAGCUGCACUUCACAUUGCUGCUAAUCCAGUGUUUCAUGAAUGAACAAAACACAUCGAGAUUGAUUGUCACUUUGUUCGUGAAAAACUACAAUAGGGUCUAAUCACUACUAGUUAUGUGAAGACAGGAGAACAGAUAGAUGAUAUAUUUACGAAAGCUUUGAAUGGAGUUAGAGUGGAUUACUUUUGUAACAAGCUGGGCAUGAUUGAUAUCUAUGCUCCAGCUUGAGGGGGAGUGUUGUAGAAUAAUCUAGAAUAUUAUAGAAUAUGGAGUAAUUAAUAGAAGAUAGAGUAUAAUUAAUUAGAAAUAAUUAUAGAGAUUAGAAUAUUCUAGAAUAAUAGAGUAUAAUUAAUUAGAGAUAAUUCUAGAGAUUAGAAUAUUAUAGAAUAAAAAACUUCUCCAAUUAUAUAUAUAUAUAUAUAUAUAUAUAUAUAUAUAUAUAUAUAUAUAUAUAUAUAUAUAUACUUCCAUGAUCAAUAGACAACACAACAAUUUCAAAUUUAUUUUCUACUUUUACAGAUUUUAUAAGCAAUACGGUAUCUAAUAAUACAUCAAAGAAUUUAUAAAUAUAUUAAAAUUUUGUUUAAAAAAUAAUUUUUUAAUUUGACUAAAAUUAAAGAUAUAUAUUUUAAUAAUUUUUUAUAAUCAUAAAAUAUAUAAUUGGAUACUAAAUCAAUUAAAAUAACUUAUUUUAUCAAAUAUUUAUAUUUAUAUUAAUAUUUACAAUCUUACAAAUGAGAAAAAUAUUAAAUAUACCUAAAGAAUGCUAAAAUAAUGAAAUACAUUUUACUCCUUUAAUACAGAAAAUACAUUUGCCCUCAAGUGUAAAAGUGUCAAACCACAGAGUUAUUUUUUAAAAUUUACCCCGCUUUUUAUUUUUUAAAUAAUACAAGUCAAAUGGUUAAUAUUCAUAUGCGUUGCAUAUGUUUGGAUGAAUGACUUUGUAUGAUCAAUACUUAAUCACAAUGUUGCUUCAGUCACACAAUCCUUUAAGCCAUUAUCAAGUCAAUCUUACCCUAUAUCUUUAUUUCCUGAUGCCACCUUUACUUUGAUUACUUUCUUUUAUUUGAUACUUGUGUGUUGCAUUUAUAUUUUAAAAGUUUAAAUUUUAAGUUCUUGUGUUGAUUUGAUAAGUAAUUUUUUGCCAUUGUUUGUUUGCUUAUAAGAACUUAGAUAAAGGACUUUGAAUGGUAAAAGACGAGUGGUGAGUUCAAAAGAGCGUAAAAGCCUAGAAUUGAGUGAAAGUAUGAGCAAUUCCAUCAAAGGAGUGAAAUACAUAAGGGAGUAACUAGGUGAGUUAUCUUUUAUUUUUUCUCUUAUUAGGUAGAUUAUACAACAUAUCUCAAGAUAAAGUAAAGGACAUUCAAAGUGAGGAAAGACAUAUAAAUAUGAAACUCUACAUGAAGUCCAUCCAACAAAUGAUGGAGAAGAUGGGGAUGAGGUUCACUAAGAGACUAAAUGACUUUGAAGAUAGAUUUGACAAGUUUGAAUAUCAAACUCAAGGGGAGCAUAGUACAUGCAACAAUCAAUUUCAUAGAAGAAGGGCAAUCCGAGAUGAUGAAGAAGAUAAUGACCAAAUAUCUAAUUCAGAGAGAUAUGAAGCUUGACAAUAACCUAGGAAGUAUUAAAAUGAAAAUUCCAAGCUUCCAAGGCAAAAGUGACCCCGAAGCAUACUUAGAGGGGGAGAAAAAGGUAGAUUUCAUCUUCGAGUGCCAUCACUAUUCUGAGAAAAAAGGUCGAAUUAGCCGCCAUAGAAUUCACCGAUUAUGCCUUAAUGUGGUGGGAUCAAUUAGUUACUAGUAGACGAAGGAAUAAAGAGCCACCAAUGGAGACAUGGGUUCUUUUACUCAUGUGUAUUACAUGUAAAUACCUAUUAUUAUUCAAAAACUAAAAUAAUAUAUAUUAUUAUUUAUAUAUUACUCAUGGUUAAGCAAAAUUUGAAAUCUUCAAAAGAUUGCUUGCUGCACAUUGAAUUUGCAUAUGAUCGUAGUGUGCAUUGUUUUACUAAUUUCUGUCUUUUUUAGAUUAUUUAUGAUUUUAUUCCAUUGAGUCUCUAGAUUUAAUUCCAUUAUCUUUGAAUGAAGUAGUGAAUCUAGAUGAAAAAGGAAGGCAUAAUUUGUUAAGGUGAAAUAUGAAAAAGUACAUGGAAACCUUGAAGGAAAGAAUAACAAUAUGCAAAACAAGCCAAUAAGGGGCAAGUGAAAGUGCUGUUUGAGCUUGGCGAAUAGGUUUGGAUUCACAUGCCCAAUGAGUGUUUUUCAACCAGGAGACAAUCUAAACUUUUUCCAAGAGGAGAUGGACUGUUUCAAGUCCUUGAGCGCAUCAAUUACAAUGCCUAUAAAUUAGAUUUGCCUAAUGAGUAUGGUGUUAGUGCUACCUUUAAUAUUCCUGACUUGUUUCCUUUUAAUUUUGAUGAAGGUUUUGAUUUGAGGACGAAUUAUCUUGAAGAAAUGGGGAUGAUGUGACCAAGGCUAAGAUUCCAUAUACUUUAAAGCAUCCAAAAAGGACUAAUCACAAGAUUAAAGGCCAAGAAGACAAAGGAAGCACUUGUUGGGCUUAUUAAGAAUAUUUGAGUUCAAGACACUACAAGCCAUGAAGAGUCAACUCUAAAAUCAAGUCCAAGACUUAGCUUGAUCCAAUACCAAAGGGUUUGAUUAAAUCCAAUUGGGUCUUAAAUUAUUCAAAGCAAGCUAAUAAGGCACUAAGGAAGCAAGUUGGGCCAAGAAGGACUUAAGGAGCAAGCCUAUACGUGUGACCUCCUUAAGUAAUCAGGGUUUCAACUUAAACUUGUUGACUAGUCAACAAGGGAGAGUUCCACCUUCUAUUUUUAUUAUUUAGAAAUUUUUCUGUUUGCUUUAUUUUAUUUAGAAAGUAUUAAUUACUCCAUAAAUGACUUAUUUCCUUUUCUCUAGCAUAAUUAUAGGAGACACAUGCUUGUUAACCGUUUAGAAAUUUUUGUUUUAUUAUUUAUUUAGGUUAGGAAGUAAUCUAUUAAUUUCUACGUGAUUUUAUUCCUUUUUUAUCUUCAUUGUAGAGUUGUAGGAGGUCUAUAAAUACCUUGAAUUUGGCCACCUAUAUCAAUUAAUCUUGUAUGAAUUAUUUUCUUAUCAAUAAAGUAAGAGUUAUUUCUUUACUUUGUUCUUUAUGAACUUUUCAAGUUUUCUUCCAUUGUAUGCAAAUUCCUUGCCUUAUCAAUUUUAAAACUUAAUUUUUUAAGCUUUUGGAAUUGUGGCGACAAUACAUCUUUUUAUAACUAAAGUUCUUGAUUCCUUAUAAUCAAAGGGUUUUAGUUCCAUCAUCAUAGAUCUGAAUUUGAAGAUCCUAAAGUUAGCAUCAAUUUUGAUUUGGGUUCUAUCUCUCUAUAUAUAGAGUUCACAUCA
rnacentral:lncRNA from 1 species